CUUGAAGAAACCAAAGACCAAGGUCAAGUCGUGCGCUGGUCUCCUCAAACUAGAGUUUUGUCACACCCGGCUGUGGCAUGUUUCAUCACUCACUGUGGAUGGAAUUCCAUGCUCGAGACUAUUUGCUCGGGUAUUCCUCUCAUAGCCUAUCCACAGUGGACUGACCAGCCGACCAACGCAAAGCUCAUUGUCGAUGUCUUUAAGAUUGGCGUGAGGAUCAAGAAGGAAGCUGAUGGAAACAUAAGCAGUGAAGUGAUUGAGAAAUGCAUCGAAGAGGUCAUGGUUGGGCCAGUAGCUGAGCAGUUGAGAAAAAACGCGAUGGCACUAAAGGCCGAGGCUCAGAAGGCGGUGGCGGCAGAUGGAUCAUCCGAUGAGAAUAUUCGGCUCUUCGUGGAGGAAAUUACCUGCGACUCUUGCAAGAAGGAUGGUUCACGAAACGUAGGAAAUUUGAGCCAUGAAGGCCAAGAUAAGGUUAGUGAUAAAGGUGUGUAGGGAGAAACGUGUCCGGAUUGGCCGAUAAGAGAUUCUUGGCUUGUCUUGUUCACAUAAAAGUCACGACGUUAUUGUCCUAGAAGACAAGUAUGAUAUGAAGGUUGUGGUGUUCCUCCGCUUGGAAAAAUAAAGAGGACAAUUUCAAUACCUUCUUUUCUUGACAUGAUGUCCGUAUAUCAUUUGCUCCAUGAUUGAGAGAUUACCUUGUCCUCAAUCGGAGGUUUGAAAGAAAUAUAAUACACAGAACAUAAUCGUUCUGCUAAGAGGUGUCUGAAAUCACUUUCCUGUGGCGAUAACGCCCUUAAGAUACAAAGUAGUCUCUCAAAAUUCUCUCAACAUGGACACUCGGAAACUAAAAAAGUUUCUUGAAUGAAAGAAUGUAUUUAUAUAAGAACAAUGAAUCAAAGUAUCUAGUGAACAGACACAACCAUUGAAUUGAACAGAGUAGUUAACUUCCAACAUAUAUAUUUGUCUAAAAAAGCUAACAUUAAUAAAUAAGAAAUUUCGAAAUUGUUUAAGCACAACUUUUCACGAAUUCCAAGUUUUGCAAGACAAAUCAAGCCCAAGACCCAAUAUAAUCAAGUUAAAAUAGCUUCCUUCUAUUUUUCCUAUGCGAGACUUUUUUCCACAUUCAUCUUUCAAACUUUCUACGAAGGUUAAGUUUUUUAAAAAAAAAGCACAAAAUUGAGAAUUUUAAUGCACACAAAUAUUCUACAUAAGGGAGGAAUCUUUCAGUUUGCAAUGAGAUCGUGAGUAUGACAAUUCAAGUUUCAUAAAUUUUUGUGGUAACUUUUAAUCUUCUCUAGGCAAUCAACAAUCCAUCACCAUUGAUUUAUAUAGUUGGAUUAAUUUUAUAACUUCAAUUUAUAUGUUAUCAAUGGUGAUCGAUAUGGAUUGCAUAACAAAUAUAUAUAUUUUGCAGAUUAUGUACCACAUGAAAUUCUUCUUUAUUGUCGUGAGUAUUUAUUCAUUUGGGACAAAAUCGGAAAGCGAUCAGGCACGUGCAUAUUUACUUCUCGGGCCCACGAUGGGGGACUAAUUUUUUCUCCAUCUCCAUGAAUAGGAGAAAAACAAAAAAGAGAAAAACCAAAGUGAUUUGGAGGCUUGUAAACUUUUGUCCUCACAUCGGCACAUGAUAUGUAAUAUAUCAUGUAUUUAUACUCAAAAUCGAAAAGAAUAAAAUAGUUACAAGGAAUAUCUGCAAAUUGACACAGAUUUCAAUCUUAAUCCCGUCGAAGAGAAACUUAGAUAUACAUUUAUACGAAACCUUGAAUCAUAAACUAAAUAUAAUUUAUCAAAAGCGCGAUAAAACAUGGGUAUGCUGAUGAUGAAAAAACUAUGACCCAAUUCAAACUUUGGACAAUUUAUUUUGAGCAACCCGGAUAAAAUAUAGCUCCAGUAAAACCUGAAAAUCAUGAUGAACUUGAACUUAUGCGCGUACGAAUGUUCUAAGACAGCAAUUAGGACAUUUAAUUGGACACUGCACUAAAAUAAAAUAGGAAAAUAUAAGUCCUAAAUUUAGUUCUACGGUGGUUAAUUCAAUCCUAAAGAUUUUAGGGAAAAUUGUCUAAAAAGUCCUAAACUGAUUGCACUUUUACCAAUUUAGUACUAAACCUUUUAAUUUUAUCAUUUUUUUUUGGUCAAAAUAACAUUUUUCAUUCAUUUCCACAUAAAUAUCACAAUCCAACUACAAACCAAGACAAAUCCCAAACAACUUCAAAAUAAAACAAGCUCUAGAUAACAAGAUGAAUCAUCAGAAUAAGGUUAGAAGUCACUCGUUCAAAGAACAAAUCGAAGAUUUCUUCAAAUCAAAAUUAGUGACCGAUCACCAAAUCCAUCUUCAGUAAUAAACACACACCAAGAUGUCCAUCUAUUGCUACUACUUUACCUUUUAGUGGAGCGCGUUUAAGUUCGGUAUUCCCAGCACCAUCACCGUUUUGGUUGAACGAGUACAUAUUUUACACUUGUGAGAGCAAAACCUUUAAGAAGCUCCUCUGGUCUCCUUCGAAAUUAGACUUUUACACAAAAGAAACCCAAGGGAAGCGAAAACCUGAAAUCUUAGAUGUAAAAAUCCCUAAAUCUGGACUAGAACUCUCCCCAAAAUAGGAGAGAAAACCUUCUAAAUCCAUAUCGGAUUAGAAGAGAAAAGCUCCACAAAAUGGGUGGAAAGCAAGAAAAAGAAUAGAGAACCAAAUCAGCCAAAGAAAAAGGAAAAAGAAAGAGAAGGGAAAAUCUAACUCAAACCCUCCCCUCCAUGAAGGUUGAAAAAGAAAGUUGUAUGAAAAAUAGAAGGAGAGGAGAAAAUCCUAAUAGAGAGAGAGAGAGAAAAAAAAAUGAUAUUUAAGUUCUAAAUAUUUUCACAUUUCCUCAAUUAAAUUCAUUUGGCCAAUUUUAGCUAGAAAUCGCUUAUGUAGAUGAUGAUUAUCCUGCGUAGCAUAGCUGAUACUGACAUGGAUAAUUUUAAUAAUAUUUUAUUAUAUUUAAUUAAUUUUUAUAUUUUUAUUAAUUUUUUAUAUUUUAUUUUAUUUUUCCUUUUUUUCUUUAUUAUAUAUAUAUUUUUUGUUACUUUGGCCAGUGAGGUCGAGGCCACAAACUAGGGAGGGAUGGGUCUACGGGUUGAGACAAGGGUAGAUGUAGGAGUCAUGAAUGAAGAGCUUGUGGAGGAGGAUGGCGAACGUGGCACGGAGUGGGGCGGUUGUGGAAGAGGUGGCCAACCUUGAGGGAAAGGGAGUUGGGAUGAAUUUUGUUCACUACUUCUCUACUACUACUACCUUUCCAUUCUUCAUUCUUCUUUCUUCUUUCUCCUCCUCCUCCUCCAACUUGUUCACUAUCCACUUAUUGUAAUACCUAACCCGAUCCAUACUCAUUUUUCUUCUUUAUCGCAAAAUGACGCAUUUAAUCCGUUUACUAUUCAUUUAUUGUAAUACCCGACCCGAUCCAUACCCAAUUUCAUACCAAACUCAUUUAGCUCAUGACAAGGGUUCAAGGACUUUUUUAGUAUUGGACGAAUAAUAACGGUUAAUCAAGCUCAAUUCGCAUAGAAGGAUCAAGGAUCCGGACUAAGGCACACCACACGUUGAGGGGUCACCAAGAUCUAUUUCGCUGCAGAACCAUUAAGAUAACUCAUACAGACACACACGGUCACUUAAUUAAACAAGCUUUCACCUUUCAAUUUCUUAACAAAAAAGUCUCAGUAUCUGAAUGGGAUCUGAAAUUUGCGGCAAUGCGGAAGAAAAGAGAUUGCAGCACACAGUACAAGCUUUCACCUCCAAUUUCAAGAAUCUACGAUUAAACAAUAUUUCGAAAAAAAUCGGCAUCAACGAGUGAAAUGUUGCUCAAUCGGUCGCCCAAAUCAGAAACAGAGAACCCAAAACAUUACAACAAAAAAAGAAAUUUCCAAAGAGAAGACCCUCUCUCUCUCUCUCUCUCUCUCUCUCUCUCUCUCUCUCUCUCUCUCUCUCUCUCUCUCUCUCAUACAUAUGGGCACUUGAGGUCUCAAAGCAUAGCAGGCGAAUUGAGCAGAGCGGUAGGGCUGAUUCCGGGAGGUAGGGUGGUGAGGCGCGGCGAAGCCAAAGCACUUGCCGCCGACUCCUCCGACACCACCGAGUCGAUCCUCGCACUGGCCACCGCAUUGAACCCACACUUGGCUGAUCUCCUCUCCGCAAUGCUUUCUCUAUAAUGGAGGCUCCAUCCCACUCCCUCCCUCCUCCUCCGCCAAUCUUCUCACCCUCACUCAACUAAUCCGUCGAGUUGUCCCGCUCCGAUGAGGAAGACUCGCGUGCUUCCAUCGCUAACCGACGCCUCCCGAAACAGAGAGAGAUUAUAAAUUGGUUUUAAGUAGGUUGUAAAUGGGUUAUUUAGGCCUCUUUAUUUUAUAGACCCAUUAUGCUGGCCUACGAAAUCUGCUAUGAUUCAUUUAUAACUCAUUUAAGUAAUUUUGGGUUAUUAAAUGGGUUUUGAGCUCAUUUUGACAAAUCUAGUUGCUCCUAAUUCACUUAUGUUGACCGAAUUUUCUAUAUCUAGUCACCAGAAAUCAAUUUUUAGUGAUUGAAUUUGGUUUUGGGCCUUGGUUAAAGAAAGUUUCCUCCGACCAAGUCUCCAAUUUGUGAAUUAAAAUUACGGACAUCACUCACAUACAAAAUCAAAUUUGGUAUUUGUAACCCACCUGUCAAAACCUCUUUAUAUUCAUGAAAAUAUCCUAACACGUUACCAAUCCCUACGUUGUCCAUCCAGAUACAUGAACUUGGCCCUUCUAUCUAUGUUCUCCUUUGCACGCUAUGAAAUGAAGGAAAACCUCUCUAUAUUUCACAUGCGUGACCUGAAAUGAAGGAAAUAUCUUUAUAAAAUUGUGUCAAAAUACUAUAAAUUAUUGUCUAUCAAAAUGGUCAUGUAGAUGUUGUCAGUCCUCCAAUUUUAGCGCCAUGCAAUGUUUGGAAUGAUCUCCUUUUGCAUCUUGUAGCGGGAGUUGGCAAUAUGAUUGAUCGUGCUCUGACCAACAUCGACAUUCACCAUGUCAAAAGUAAUAAUCACCAUGAUAGAGGUCAACUUAGCAUUAUUGGCCCAAUCACCUACGAGUGGAUGUUGAGAAAAUACGAGGAAUGAUUGGAAAGAAUAAUGAAAUCAAAUUUUGAGAUGUUGUUGACACCUAAUUUUAGCAAAUCUAGGGAAAUAAAGAAAAUAAAAAUUGUAUUUGAAUAAAUAAAAGGAAAAAUAUGAAAAAAAUGGAGGAAAUUGAUUUGAUUGAUUAUGCAUGGAAAUUUGAAAUUCGAAUGAAUAUUCGGAUUUCGUUAAAUGCAUAAGUAAUUUAAAAAUCAAGUGAAUAAAGGGCAAGAAUUUUACAAAACGGAAUAAAUCUGAGCAAAAUUGAGCUGGUUGCGAAAUCAUACUCUGAUUUGCAGCUUUGAUUUAAUGCGACAGAAGAUGGAAACUCGGAAAAUGCCAUACAAAGCGGCCGUCCGAAAUCAUUAUAAAAGAGAGCUUCAUUUUCGCAACUGGGGUGGAGAUUUUGGAAAUUUUUGAGAAAAAAAAAAGACAAGAAAUUGGAGAGCAAGUAUGUGAGGAGUCUUGUUCUUUUGGGUUUAGUGAGUGGAAAUUCGAAAAGAAAAGAAAAUCUUUUGGAGAGAAAAGGUCAAUUUGCUUAGCCUUGGUCGAAGGAAAAGGGGGGGGGGGGGGGAAAAAGCAAUACAAGUGAUAUGAGAGAGAGGACAGGUGAGAAAAAAAAAGGGGCAACAAUGUCGUCUUCUUCAUGGACCCCUUGUCCACAUCGGCCCCGCGUCCACCUUGACGGCACCGCCUUCCCCAACUGCUAUUGUGCCUCCGCCACGCUGUGCCGCCGGCCUCGCCGCUUCGACCGCACCUUAGCCCUCGCUGAUAGAGAUCUGCUCGUGACCCAGCACUCAACGUCCCCUGCUUUGGCUGCGACUGAUGCCACUUGAGCCUGAAACCGCCACUACUUCCCUCUUACUGUCGCUCGCCUGCAGCAACUGUCGAAACCCCUCGCCGGUGACCUCUGCCGUGACGACCUGACGCCGUGACUCAUCCGAACCCGCAGCUUCGCCAGUCACCAUCGCGACGUCGCUGCUCGCGACCCAGUAAGCCGAUGCUGAUCCACGACGCUUGCUGUGCUCCUUGAUGCUCCGCUCGUCACCUAAUAGUCUCACCACGCCAUCUCCGCGCUAUCCGUCGAACCCCCUCACUGUCUCCCCCUCUGCUUCGACGCCUGACACCAACAGCAGUGACGCUUGACGUCGUUGCCCUAGAGACUAGUGACCGACGUUGUUGCUCUGGAGACCAGCGACCGACGUCCUUGCUUAACCCGACGCUCUGCUACUUGGUGCCGAAGCCCUGCGACCUGAUGUCCCUAACCGCCACACCUCACGCCCGAACGCUGCCCCCUUUGCCCACGUCAGAUGUGCUGCUCGCUGUGCGCUCGUCGAAAACCCUCGCCCGAGCUCCGAAUCGGCUAAGAUUUUUUUUUUUUAGGUACAUUUAUUUUAUUUUAUUAGGAAAGUUUAUUUUAUUUUAUUGUUUUGUUUUAUUUCUUGUUUUUCUUAAUUGAGAUAUUUCCCUAUGCAUAAUUGUAAAUUAUGACAUGCUAACUGAUUCACAACCGCGCCUGAAUUUUUUAUUUAAUCUAUAAGGCCUUAGAUGAAAUAAUUAAUUAAGCGGGGAUAAAAUUGAUACUUUGAUCUUUAAGGCUUAAGAUCAAUUUAUCGAUUUUAUUAAGCGAAAUAUUAUCCCUUGAUCUAAACAAUGUAUGAUAUCUUUUGUAAUUUUGAAUGGUUUGGCUUGUCUUGAUUGCUUUGUUUAUUUUGAAAUAUGUUUGAAUUAGAAUAUCGCAUGGUUUAGGAUUAUCUUGCAUGUUUAGGGUAGGAAUUUUAUUAUUUCAAAUUUUAAAAAAUCAAAAUCAAAAAUGAAAAAAUAAAAGAAAUCAAAUCAAUUUAUUUAGGUUGCUAGUUUUUUUUUUUUUUUUUAAAACUUGGAAUGCAUGUUUAAUUAUUUGGCAAUUAUUAAUUUCAAAAUUAAAAAAAAGGGGGAAAAUGAAAAACAACAAAAAAUCAUCAUGCAUAUGUCAUGUAGAGUUAAGGCAUCUUUUUGUACGUCAUUGCAUAUUAGGGUAAAAUUGCACUUAGUUUAAUUCUAGAUAAUAUUUUUCUUAAUUUAUUAUAAGUUUAGAUAUUAGAUAGAUUGCAUUUUAGGAUUAUUUGGGUUAAGAUAAUAUUUUAGUUUAAAUUAGGAUUUGGCUUAACCUAAUUCCUAAUGCAAAUUAUAUAGAAUCUUAAUCUAGUUAGAUAAUUUUCACAUUUUUCCUAAUUCCGAAUUUCAUGAAAAAUGCAAAAAAUUUCUUAGAAUAAAUUAGUUCCAUUCUCUAGGAUAAAUUGCAUUUUUUAGAAAUAAAAAAUAAAAAAAAUGUCAUGUAAAUGUCAUAUAGGAUUAGAUUUAUGAAAUGCACGUCAUUUAGAGAUUGUUAUUAGGUCCAUUUAAUUAGAAAUUGCAUGUUAUUAUAAUUAGGUCAUUUAUUAAUAUUGCAUUGCAUAUUGCAUGAUUUUCAUUAAUUAAGCGAAAAUAAAUAAAAGAAAUUGCAUGUUAAUUAGAAAUCAUAUCUAGAGUUAUUGAUGUAGAUUCUAAUUUAACAUUGCAGAUACUUCCGUUACUUUGAGGUAAGUUUUGUAAUUUAUUCUUCAUUUAUCUGAGUGUUAAAUUGGUGGUUUGUGUACUUGCAUCAUCGCCUCACAUGUUAGGGAAAUAGAUUUAAAAUCAAUUUAAGCUGUCUGCAAAAAAAAAAUUGAAAAUUAAAUAAUGGUACCGAAAGGGUAUUAGAGAAAUCUAGUGUAACCAAGUUCUCGUACUCAUAGUGUCUGGUUCGUAGGAGUAAAGUAAAACUCCCGACUCACUAAAAAAUAGAUUAGUGGUGACUCCUAGAUAAAAUUUAUUUGCAUGUUAAAAAACUUGAACCUAAGUCGCGAAUUGGUAUGGGCUUGGGAGAGCCCAAGUUAAGUUUAAGCUUAACAAUCCAUUAGCCAAACCCUGGGUGGAUCACCCUAAAAAAUUUGGUCGUGACAGCUUAGCGACUCCACUGGGGACUUGAGUUGAAACUCUUAGUGGACUUAGGCCAAUUUUCUUUUUCUUUUUAAAAAGAUAUUUUUGUUUGGCAACAAGGAUCCCAAGUAUGUCUCUAACAUUUAAGGUGUUAAAUGUUUUUCCAGAUGGGAAGAUAUAAUGAGAGUAGUCUUUGCUAACCCUUGUCUUCCAGGUUGGAGUUGGGGAUGAAUGUUUUAUAUUGAAGUUAUUGAAGUGUUGCUUGAUUUAAAUUGUUGUGCAUGUCUUGCAUUUAACACUACAUUAUUGCACACACAACUUGUCGCCGGACCUGGGGCCGCACUAUGAUAUUUAGGAUGGUAUUGAGUUGGAUACGACUUCGACUGCAGGGCCGCGUAGUAGAGGUUGCCCAACUCAAUCCUGGAAAUUUUUCUUGGUGUCAAGAAUGUUUACCUCUGCGCACGAGGUUGCGUUGCAUUGGGGUAUCAUUCCUGACUGAGCCGGAGUUAGGAGGACUUGAUUUAGUAUGCAAGGCUGCAACUAAGUCAUCCCACCCUUUUAACUUCACCUUGCUUAGCCUUCCUAGUUAGAAAUCGAACCUCACACUUCAUGCACUUCUCUAUCCUUUACUCUUGCAAUUUACUUAUUUAUGUCUUUGGUUGGUCCAUGACAUUAGGUUUGUUGAGUCUUGGUCUGUAAACAAUGGGAAGAUCCGACAUUCAAUUCAUGCCUGCACCAAAGGUUGAACUCAAAUCAUGGUGGGAUUGUCUAGGCCACGAUGGCCAAAGCUAUGUAGAGAGCAGACUUGGUCACCUUGGUCCCCUCCUUGACAUUGAUGUCCAAAGUGGCGUCAUGCAAGCACUUGCUCAUUUCUGGAGCCCCCGAACAUCAACGUUUAUAUUUGGUAAGCAUGAGCUGACUUCGACUCUGGAAGAUUACAACAUUGCCAUAGGAAAUCCUUUGGAAUUGGAAUUAAUAAAUCCACCCAUUGGAUUAGAACCAGAAUCGAUUUUGUCUGAUUUUCUUAGGAUGAAUAAGAAUCUGAUAAAAGAGUGUUGGAAGAUAAUUGUCUUGCAUGUCCUUUUUACUUCCUAGAUCAGAGUUUUGCUAGUGCUGAUACUCUUUUAAAAAGUAGGAUCUUCCUCCUAGUUUUUUUUUUGUUUUUUUUUUGUUUUUUUUUUUGUUUUUUUUUUCGGGUUUAUUGUUUUCCGUCUUCGUAAAGGCGCCAUUAAUCCUUUUGUCGCAUGGGUGGUCAAACAAGUGUGUGCUAGGAUUAGUUUUGUCAAUACUAGUCUAGCUGAAACAUUUUUGUCACUCACCCGAUUUAAGGAAGAUGAAGAUAAAACCUUUCGUGCACCAAUUGAACUUUUACAAAUCUUGUUCUUUUCUCAUAUGAAUAAGAUCAAUAUUCGCAUGAAUAUUAUUAAUGUCACUGAUUCCCAUCAUCCCAUCGAAGUAUUGGGGAUCACCGGUGUCACUUCCUACUACCCACUCCGAGUGGCUCAUCAUUUACAAAUCCAGUUCUUUUCCUAUGGCAUGCUAAAUGUUUCAAGUCUCCAAAGCACGUCUCUCUCAUAGUGAUGAUGAGUCAAUCCCACUAUUGGGGAUCACCAGUGUCACUUCCUACUACCCACUCCAAGUGGCUCAUCAAUAUCGAGUUGUGCAAGAUCUAUUGCCCCCUCUCAAGCUGGGUUUGUUCCAAGUCCGAUUCACUGCUAAGAAUGGCGAUCACAAGAAGGAACUUCGCUAUAUUGAACAAGCUUGGCUCGCAUGUCGCGAACUAAAGUUGAUCUUACCUGAAGAUGAGCUUGAAGGGAAUGAAAAGACUUAUUAUGCCACAGCUCGAUACAUUCGUCAACACAAGAUUCUGACCAAGUAUCUCCCAAAGGUGCCAGAUGUGACUGAGAAGCCCAAUCGGCAAGCGGAGCUUAAUCGUCAAAAGAGGAAGAUUGAAGAACUUGAAGAGCAAGCCAAGAAGGACGCUAAGGAGAAGAGGCAAUUACGUCAAGCGUUGGCUUCCCAUGUGUUUAUAGAUCGGGCCAAAUAAAGUGGCUUGAAUCUAUUUGGUCUUUUUACUUAAUGCUUAGGAAGUUGAGUCGUUUACUUGAUUAGUUUAAGGUCUUGCGAGUUUCUUUACAUUAUUAAUGUCAAACAAUUUCAUUAAUGAAUAAAAGCGGUUAGACUUUCGUCAUGGAUCGGCAUUGUUUUAUAUGAAGUGCUUAUGUGUAUACAUCUAUUCAAUUUUAGGUGAUAACGGAUUCGCCACACUCUCCCAUUAUUACGCGAUUAAGAGCUAAGAUGGCCGACCAAAACGAGAUGCGCGGUUGCAUGUCCUUUAUGGAAAAUCAACUCCAACAGUUAGCUGAUUCUAUGCAGCUUAUAACAGCUCAACUUCAAUCCAUCCAAGUGAACUUGAAUCCUCCACUCGCUUUGCCUAAAAUAGUAGCCCCGAGGCCGGCAAACAGGGCCCAAAUGAGUGAUGAUGAAAUGCUCGAGCUGGAAGAUGACGUGCUGUUAGCCCCUGUUGGAAAAGUCAAGUCUGAUAGCGUUCCCAAGACAGAUCAGGAUGAGCGAAUUGCAAAGCUAGAAGAGAAAGUGAGACAGUUGCAGGAGUCACAAAACUCACUCCCGUUCGACCUCUCGGUCUAUGAGAAGGUCAAAAUGCCGAGAAAGUUCAAAAUGCUAGAAUUUGAGAAGUACGACAGGACAUCUUGUUCGAAAUCUCAUUUGUAGAUGUACCACAUGUGCAUGGCCCAGCACGUAAAAAAUGAGCCCCUUAUGAUCCAAUCGUUUCAUGCGAGUUUGACCGGGUCCGCACAAAACUAGUAUGUGAUGAAGAACGUAAACCUCCUCGAAACUUAGAACGAAGUGGCAGACGCGUUCCUUAAACAGUACAAGUUCAACAUGGAUAUCGCACCCUCCCGAGAAGACUUGGAGCAGAUGGAAAAGAAAAGGAGCGAGUCAUUUAAAGAGUAUGCUGUGAGAUAGAGAAACCUGACGGCUCAAAUUACUCCUGAACCUACCAAAAAGGAGUUGAUGAAGUUGCUUGUGAAGACCCUUCCAAGUUCCAUAACCGAAUGACCAGUACGUAUGUCGAGAGCUUCAAUUAGCUUAUUCCUGUAAGAGAACAAAUCGAGAUGGGGAUAAGGGAAGGAUGGUUUUCUGAGCCAUCUACUAAAAGGUUCUCUACUAAGAAGGAGAAGGAAGCGGUCGUGGAUAUGAACAUGGCUUAUAGCCAAGAAAGUGCCAAACGUGCCUCAGCCAUCCAGGUGAACCCAAGACAGCAACAACCCGUUAGCUGUCAAUCAUUUGCCCAAGCGAAUAAUAGAAGGCAUUUCUCCCCUCUCCCUGGGUCUCCAUCCCAAGUGCCGACAGUCCUCCGAAAGAAGGGUUUGCUUAAUAGUGAACCAAAGCGCCCUAACCGUAAGGCAUUCACGGUUACGACCCGACGAAAAAAUGUGACUACUAUAACGAUGAACUGGGGCAUUGAUGAAUGUUUCACCCUCAAGCACCAGAUCCAAAAUCUCCUGGACAUAAAAGCCUUUUCAUUCCAAACUGCUCAGCUAAACGUCCAAAAAAAUCCGCUACCAGAGAAUGAGGGUAUGGUGAAUGCUAUCUUGGAACCUGUAGUCAGAUGGAUCAGGAACUCAAAGGUGCAUGUGGUAGAUGCCUACAACGGGCUAGUGAGAGCUGGGUAUUAUCGAGGUCAGGAAGAUGUCCCCCUAUCAGUGAUGAGAGAAAGAGUUGCCAAAAUGGUGGAUGACGGCAUCAUUGUGUAUGCUGAUCGUAACUGCAUAGUUGCUACUAUAUCCCACCUCAUCAUCAAUUGGGAGGAGGAGUAGGCUGCACUCGAUGCUGACAAGGAAGAGGUUGAUCACUCGCUUAUGGACAUGCCCCCCAUUAGAGGAUGCAUCCGACGAGUAGAUAGUGAUAGAGGUGCCUCAGCCAUAUGAGUAUGUCAACAACAAGGCAGUGCCUUGGUCCUAUGACCUGGAUGUUGACAUUGUUAUAAGAGUAACCUUAGCCCACAAGAGUAACUCUUUUACUACUUUUGCACAUUCCCCUGCGUGGGAAUUUUUAUUUUCUGAAUGAUGUUUUCAGUUUCUUCUUUCUUUUAGUGAUAGAGUGUUGCAUUUUUUUUUCAUUCAAUAAAUGUAAUUGAUUAAUGAAUUUCAAUGAAAUUACAAGUUUUAAUUUGAGGGCAUGAUAAGGUGCACCAAACCGGCCCGGUGAUGAUAUCCAGCCGAUAAAAGAAAAGAAAAAUCCAAGGAGAAUUUCGAGGCCUGGGCUUCAUCAUGCUUCCUCGUGUCAAAAUGUUUCAAAAAAUGUUUUCGCCAAAGAAUUUCAAAAAAAAAAAAAUAGAAACAAAAACAAAAAAAUGUAAAUUACUCUGUUUGUCUUUCUAAUUUAUCUACUUCAUGUUUUAAGAACAAUCUUAUGGCAUGCAAAGGUGUGGAAAUGGUCCAAUCCAAUGCAACAAGUAUUGAUAAUAAUGAUCCUGAAGACUCGAUCGAAGACUCCAUUGAAGUAUCUGGGAACAACAUGAAAAAGUUAAGGCUCUCACAUCUGAGCAGACCGUCACUAUUAAUUUAAGUGACAUUGAAGAAGCCAAAUAAGUGAAAAUUGGGGCGAGUCUCCCCAAAGACGAGGCUGAGCGCCUAAUUCAAUUACUGAAGGAAUAUCAAGAAAUUUUUGCAUGGACCUACACUGUCAUGCCUGGACUAGACCCGUCAAUCAUGGAGCAUUGCCUACCUACUAAUCCGGACGUGCCACCUAAGAAGCAAAGGCUACGGAGGACUAUGCCCGAGCUCUCGAAGAAGAUAGAGGAAGAGGUGAAGAAGCUUUUGAAUGUGGGAUUCAUUGAAGUCCCAUAGUACCCCGAAUGGGUGGCUAAUAUUGUGCUGAUGAUGAAGAAGGACAGUCGACUUCGAGUUUGUGUUGACUAUCGGGAUCUGAACAAGGCUAGUUCAAAGGAUGAUUUCCCAUUACCACACAUAGAUGUCCUUGUGGAUAGUACUACUGGUUUUGAACUAUUCUCAUUUAUGUAUGGUUUUUUCUGGGUACAAUCAGAUAAGAAUGAAAGAGGAAGACAAUGAGAAGACUGCAUUUAUUACCCCGUGGGGAACCUUUCAUUAUAAGGUCAUGCCCUUCGGACUCAAGAAUGUAGGGGCAACCUACCAGCGAGUCAUGGUCGCAUUAUUUCAUGACUUGAUGCACCGGGAGAUUGAAGUCAAUGUUGAUGAUAUGAUCGUAAAAACCCGACUAGGAAGAAGCCACAUCGAAACCUUGAAGAAGUUGUUCGAUCAACUUUGUGAGUUCAAGCUUCAUCUAAAUCCCACUAAAUGCAUGUUCAGAGCAACAUCCGGUAAAUUACUCGGAUUUAUUGUAAGUAGUAAAGGGAUUGAGAUUGACCCUUCCAAGGCUAAGGCCAUAUGUGAGUUGCAACCUCCGUCAAUGAUUAAAGAAGUCCAAAACCUUUUAGGGAGAUUGAAUUACAUAGCUCAAUUCAUCUCCCAACCAUCUGAAACUACCAAGUCGUUCUUCAAGCUUCUAAAGAAGAACACACAAGUCAAUUGGGAUGAUGAGUGUUGAGAAGUGUUCAACAAGCUGAAGCAGUACUUGAUGAAUCCAUCAGUUCUUGUCCCACCCUCAUCGGGGCAUCCUUUGAUUCUCUACCUCACUAUUCAUAGUGAGUCAUCGGGUGUAAUGUUAGCCCAAGAAAGUCCUGCUAACAGAAGAGAACAAGCCAUUUAUUACCUGAGCAAGAAGUUCACUAUAUCAGAACAUGACAGGUUACCCUUCGCAUUGAUGGCGUAUCGGACAUUGAUCCCCACUUCCACUAGGGCAACCCCUUUUGCUCUAGUGUACGGCAUGGAUGCAGUUUUGCCUGUGGAAGUGGAGAGUCCUUCUUUGAGAGUUUUAUCCAAAGUGGAGUUGUCUGAGGCGGAAUGGUCAUGACAAAGAUUUGAGCAGUUGAACUUGAUCAAUGAGAAAAGAUUAAGGGCUCUCUACCAUGGCCAAAUAUAUCAACAGAGAGUAGCCAGAUCUUUCAACCAGAAGGUGCGACCGAGGCAUUUCGAAGUAAAUGACCUAGUCCUAAGGAAGCUGUUGCCAAUCUUUCUAGAUCCUAAAGGCAAGUUUGCUCCAAACUGCAGCGGCCCAUAUAGGGUGAAGAAGGCACUUCCUGGUGGUGCCUUGAUCUUGGCAGAAAUGGAUGGUCGUGAGUUUUCCACUCUAGUUAAUUCAGAUGUUAUCAAGAAGUAUUACCCAUGAUAAAAUUUUCCAUGUCAUAUUUUGAACUACAAAACAUUUCUAUGAUGAAUAAAUUGCUUCAAUGAGUUGAAUUGUUUAAAUUUGUUGCAAAUCUUGCAUUUUCCUUCCUUGAUGAAUUGUGUGAGACUGAAUGUGUCAAAUGGGAUACUUUGGAAUGAUGAAAGGAAAACCUUAUACCAUACACUAUUUCAUACACUAAUCCCCAGUGAGUUGUGUGGAAAAAUUCCGUGCUCAUAAGGAAAAGGUGAUCCCGCAAUGGGUACGUCAAUCGAAGUGAUGAGAGGCAUUUUUUUCUCUAUCCCAAACACUACAUGUGAUCCAUUGCUUAACCCAUUUGAGCCCCAUACACUUAUGAAGAUUCUUUUUAAAUUAUCAUUGUCAAGGAUCAUCCCACAUUGGGACAAAUUCAAAACGAAUGGUAAAAUCUUGUUGCUCACACUUGCAUCAAUCUUUGAGUAAUGCUUUCACUGUGUAACUUGUAUAGUAAUUUAAAGUGCCUUAGGAUGACAAAGAUCAAUCCUUUUUUUUUUUUUUAUCCUAUACACUUUCAUCCAUUGCAUAGCCCACUUGAGCCCAUGAUUUCGUUCCAUGUUAAACCUAGGUGGUGAUCAUCCCCCACAUUGGGGCAAGGCAUAAAAAAAAGAGAAAGAAAAAAGAGAACCAUUCAAGUAACAUGGCUUAGAAUACUGACUUUGUCCAAAGAAAAUAAGUGCAAAAAAAAAAAAUGGGGCAUGAAAAAGCAGUGUGCCUGGUAAAAGCAAGGCCAAUGUCCAAAAAAAAGAGAAAUCAAAUUCUUGAGUUGUAUCUCCAACAAGGCAGUACUAAUCAAAUGCUAUCAAUGGAGUCAUGAUAUAAAAAAUCUUCGAUAAUGGAGAAGGAAAGUGCAGGAAAUGUCAAGAUGAUCACCAAUUUUGACCCCCUAAACACUUUUUGAGCCUAAUAAUCCUUUUAUUUCUCAACCCAUGAACCAAGCCUACGUUACGUCCCUUGCAAAGUCUCUUCAGAUUAGGGCACUUGGAUUAACCUAGGGGUUCACAUGUUUUAAGCAUCGUUCGAAGAAGUACGAACACAAUUAUUUCUUUCUCAUUUUGCAGGGUUCUUGACGUGUAAACUCAGAGAUGAUUACAGAAUAUCACUCAUUCUUUCAUUGGCCUCAACUCAAAGAGUCCCUUUUGUUAAGCCAUUGACUAAGCCCAUAUUACGGUCCCUGAUAAAGAUCUCUCAUAUUGGUAAGGUCGUACCACUUGCGAGAUUGCACAGACCCUUGUUUGGCAUGAUGACAGUGAGAUAGAGUGAUUGUAAAAAUCCUGCAUCAAAGGUCAGGAUGAAACGACUCUUUUUAAUGAGGGUGAGUACAAAGUCCUUUCAAACCGAAGGAUCCUUCAUUUGACACAUCCAUGACACUCAUGUGUUUAGAUUGGAACAUUCUUUUGAAAUAUUUCCCAAUGGAAAUUAGGUGAUGCAAGAUUGAUAGAAAUCAUCACGCAUGAACCUCAUUUGAAUUAAUGCAUGUCUGUGAAUGCAUAUUGCCUCUCCUACAACUAUGUUUUGUAGCAGACAUAUCCCCCAAGGAACAGAGAUUUCACUAGGUAAGUAUAUCUCUAUUCAUACCUUAAAUACUUGUCAUUGUAUAGGUAUUCAUUUUCAAGCACUACAACUCGAUGGAGUUGCCCCUCAAAGGUUUUUCCCAGAUUCAUUUUGAUUAAGGUGACCGAAGAAAAGUUCGAGUCCUGGUCAGAUGAUUUAUGUUGCAAUACUAAGCGACCGUAGAAUGGUACGAGUCUUAGGCAAUACUUAUUUAGGCAACUAUAGAAUGGUACGGGUCCUAGAAAAUCUUUUUUUUUUUGUUUAGACGACCAUAGAAUAGUACAAGUCCUAGAUAGUAUUCAGGCAAUGUAGAAUAGUACUGGCCCUGGAAAAUGGAUCUCAAUUUAGGCGACCAUAGAAUGGUAUGGGUCCUAGACAACACCUAUUCAGGCAACCGUAGAAUAAUAAGGAUCAUGGAAAAUGAAUCCUAGUUUAGGCGACCGUAGAAUGGUACGGGUCCUAGACACAACCAAACACUAUCAUACUGGCGACCGUAGAAUGGUAUGGGUCCUAGGAAAGCAGUCUCUUUGUAAAGUCAAGUUACUAUUCUAGGUGACCGUAAAAUGGUACGAGUCCUGGACAUGUAACACCAACUAUAUCGAAUUACUCUACCCUCCUUGAAGGUAAGUUAUUCCAUGUAGUUCAUUUAUCAUUUGCAUUAGUAUUUCCAUGCAUCAUAUAAAUUGCAUUCAAAAAAUGGAAUUCAUUUUCCAACAAAAAGUCAUUCAGUACAAGUGCAUGAUCAAAAUUUAGAUCUCAACUUGUCUUUGAAUGCAACUUCCACGAGAUCACUUUCAAAGAGGGGCAGUUGUUGACGCCUAAUUUGAGCAAAUCUAGGGAAAUAAGGAAAAUAAAAAUUGCAUUUGAAUAAAUAAAAGGAAAAAAUGAAAAAAAAAUGGAGGAAAUUGAUUUGAUUGAUUAUGCAUGGAAAUUUGAAAUUCGAAUGAAUAUUUGGAUUUCGUUAAAUGCAGAAGCAAUUUAAAAAUCAAGUAAAUAAGGGCCCGUUUGGUUCAACUUUAGCGAAAUGCAAAGCCAUUUCCCCAAGUAUCUUUAGAAGAAUGGGCAUUUGGUGAAUGUUGAAAUGUUUGGGAACUAUUAUUUUGGUGCAGCAUUUUGCAAAAUAGCUUUGAGGUGAAAAGAAAAAGGAAAAAAAGAAAAGGAAAAAGGAGGAGGCGAUGUUUGAAGCAGAGGAGGGAGCGAGUGUGGCAUCCCAUAAAUUCAAAGCCAAGCCAUAAGGUGUGUUAAAGCCUUUGAUUAGGUGAUAGAAUUUCCAUGGCUUAUGCUUUAGCCAAUUAGUCUUUUAAUUUGAUGAUUUGUGCUUGUGACUGUGGAAAUUUAAAUUUAAUAGAUUAAUAAUCUAUGCUUGGCCAUAUGAUUUAAAUUUUAAUGAACAAAAAUGUCCCAAGACUUUGGCCGAGACGAAAAUUGGAAUUUAAAAAUAUUUAUAGAAGAAUUUCAAAAAACAAGAAGAAGAGAGGUCAGAAUUCGAUUGGGCCUUAAGCCCAAGAGUGGAACCUUAAUGGGCCAAGUUGGCCGGCCCAUUAAAUCCCACAAGGGGGCUGUCGACCAGCCCAAGGAGGAGUGGCCGGAUGGGCCCAAGCCCAAGCCCAAACCCAAUUCAAAAAAAAAAUUCAAAAUGACAAGUGGCAAAGGGGAAGGCCUUGCAUUGGCCAUUGGUGAGGCAAUUCUCAUGAUUGCAAGUGAUGAGGAUUAGGGAGUAUAAAAGGGGAGGAGAGAGAGAAGGUGGCCGGUUUUUGCUUCAUUCGGCCCAAGAGAGAGGGUGAGAGAGAGAGAGAAAUCGCGAGAGAGAGGGAGAGACCGAGAGGGAGAGGAGGCGGAGCCGAGGAGGAACCGCCGUGUGCCGCCGUCCGUUCGCCGUAUACGCCGCCGUACGCCGUCGACCGUCCAUCCUAGAGGCAAGUGGAGUCCUCUAACUUCUCUUGCAUGUGUGUAUAUGGUUUGCAUGUUCGAUUUUGGGUGUUUUUAGUGAGAAAACCGAGGUAAGGGUGGUUUGUUCUCAAGCCGUGUGACUGUUCUUGCUCGGGUUGUGGGAGUCAGUAACUUGUUUGAGUUUGCAUGUGUGUUUGGAGUCCUAUUUCGGCUUCGAUGUCUUCAUAGAAGUUGUAGCUAACGUCUUUCACUAUAACAUACUGAAAUUUAAUGGAAAAUUAUGGAGAUAUGAGGGGUCAAAUUCCUAUUCUACGGAGACCCCAGAUCUGUGAAGUUUUCACUGACCUUUUGUUGGAUUCUUGUUUGCAUGUCGAUUUCUGUUGAAUAUUUGACUACAAUGUCUUCAUGAAAGUUGUAGGUAACACCUUAAAAUACAACAUACUCAAAUUUGAAGAGAAAUGAACAAGUAUAGCCUAGUAAAUCGGCUAGAUCUUGGAGACGAUGAUUCUGGUGAUGUGUUCCGAGACACCCGAGACUUCAUGGACUUAAAUGGUGACCAUACUUUGGUUAUUUGACCUAUAUCUCUUCAUGAAACUUGUAAAGGACACCUUGAUACAUAACAUAUCCAAAUUUCAGAGGAAACGAAAGAGAAUAGAUGGGUGAAAUCUAAAUAUUUCGGAGAUGUGUAUUCUGGACGAUGCGGUAGUGGUUCCAGAAGCUUCGUGAGGUCGUGUAAAAUAAUAUAAAAAGAAUCUGACUUGGAGUUCUUCAUGAAAGUUGCACGAAAAUGUCUUGGCUAUCACCCUGUACAAUUUCGUAAUUUUUGGAGGUCGUAUGAAUAUUUUAAUCGAAUUUAUUUGGAAACUGUGCAUUCUGGCUUUUAUCCGAAUAUCAUGUGCUAUUUUGUGGAAAUUGUGAAAUUCAAUUUGGCCAUGAAUUUUGCAUGAAAUUUGUCACCUUAUUGGUUUGUUUAAUGAUUGUUUGAAUAUUAUGAUUUUGGGAAAAUGAUAGAUAUUGAAUUUAACAUUUAUUUAUGAAAAUGAAUAAAUAUAAUAAUAAAAUUAAAUAAAAAUAAUAAUAAAUAAUAAAAAAAUAAAAAUGGAUUAUUUUAUUGGCCAUAAAUUCCAUUGAAUUUAUUAGUAAAUAAUUAUGCAUUGUUGCAUGUAUGAUAAGACAUUGGUGUAUGUAUGAUCAUGAAUUGUGAUGCAUGUGUGAAUCAUAUGCCAUGUAAUAAUGAGAUCAAAAGAAUGAUAAAUGUGGAUAAUGAUAAGUGAGUAAGUGGUUGUGGUGGAGGAUGAGGCCGGAAUGUGCAGAGAUGCAUUGCCGGAAUUCCCUGGGAGAUUCAGGAUGCCUGGAGUGUGGGGGGCCGGAAGCCUUGUCGGAGGUCUUUGCCCGAAAGGAAUGCCUCGCGAUGCCAGGAUUUGGGUGCGAGAUGCCUGGCUAGAAGGGUAAAGGCCGGAAGCCCUGUCGGAGGUUUCUGCCCGAAGGGAAUGCCUCGUGAUGCUAGUUGAGAUGCGAGAUGCCCGGAAUGUGGGGGGCCGGAAGCCCGGUGGCCUGGGAGGCUGAAUGCUGGGAACCCUGUCGGAGGUCUUUGCCCGAAGGGAUGAUGAAAUUGAUGAUUGAGAAAUGGGUGAUGUGGUGAUCAAAAUUUAAAGAUAAAGAUGAAAAAUUAAAUCAUGACAUGAAAUGCAUGUGAUGUGAUAUGAUGAUCACCCAUGAUAUUAUAUGCAUGAUGAUAUGCAUGGUAAUAAUGAUGAUGAUGAUAUGUGAUGUGAUAUGAUGAUCACCCAUGAUAUUAUAUGCAUGAUGGUAAUAAUGAUGAUGAUGAUAUGUGAUGUGAUAUGAUGAUCACCCAUGAUAUUAUAUGCAUGAUGAUAUGCAUGAUGGUAAUAAUGAUGAUGAUGAUAUGUGAUGUGAUAUGAUGAUCACCCAUGAUAUUAUAUGCAUGAUGAUAUGCAUGGUAAUAAUGAUGAUGAUGAUAUGUGAUGUGAUAUGAUGAUCACCCAUGAUAUUAUAUGCAUGAUGAUAUGCAUGAUGGUAAUAAUGAUGAUGAUGAUAUGUGAUGUGAUAUGAUGAUCAUCCAUGACAUGAUAUGCAUGAUGAAAUGCAUGAUGAUGAUAAUGAUAUAUGACAUGCAUGAUGACAUGUACGAUAUGUUGAUGCCAUGAUGAUAAUGAUAUGUAUGAUAUGAUGAUGCAUGAUUAAAAUGCGCAUGAUUUCAAGGUAAGUAAUGCCUGCAACGUAUGAUGAGAUGCAUGGUGCAUUGAGUUGUUAUUGGAUUUCCCUAUCUGCUGAGUGGUUGUACUCACCCCUUUUGGGGAAUAACAUUUCAGAUUAGCAGUAUGCCGCUUCCUGCCGUCUCGCGGGGGGUGUUUUAUGGUCUACCAUCCGAUGUAGAGGUCGAGUGUGCUGAGAUAGAUUGUCCCUCUGUUCCCAAACUAACUUUUAUUCGAGUACGCUGUCUAGUGAUGUACGACAUAGGCCUGGCUGGGGCCCUGUCAUUCAGGAGUUCAUUUCUAUGCACGUUCGUCGGGAUGGAGCUAUGCGAGGGAUGUUGCCGCCGCCACCGCCUGAUGCACCGGGUUGGGUGUGAGACCUGCGUGCGAUGAGUAGGAGCUGGAUCUUUUUGAUGUAGAUAGUCGACACUUUCGAUGGGGGUUUGUGCUCAUAUGAUGUUGAGGGUCGAGGGUUUCUUUUUGAGAUUUUAGGCAAGACAUGGCAGAGUCCUAGCUUUUCUUGUUUUGUAUCGACCCGAGAAAAAGGAAGUCCCAUCCUAAAAGAAUAUGUAAAUAAUGUGUCGAUGUUUGUUUAUAAAAUCCUGAUGUUUAGUUGGUGUGUAUUGGUAUCAUGGAUUGGUAGGGGGAUAGAUGGUGAUGUUUAAUUUGCUUCCACUAUAAGUCGCGCUGGGACCGCUUUAAAAAAAAAAAAAUUGCCUGUGAUUAACGACGCUUGUUCUAAGUACUUCAAUAGGAAAAGGUAAUAAAGUGUAACAUCAGAGCUUGUGGCGAUCGUCGAAGGCUUCGGGGUGCUACAGCGAGUGGGAGGCAAUCAGAGAUGGUGGGGGAGGCGGCCGGUGGCUGUGGUGAGGGAGGCGGCGAAUCGCGCGACCCGCGCACCGCCAUCACGUGGGUCACUGCCUUAGGUGACGGCCCACGCACCGCCGUCGCGUGGGUCGCUGCCUCAGGCGACGGCCCACGCACCGCCGUCGCCUGGGUCGCGCCCUUAGGCGACGUUGUUGGGUCACGCGACCCACGCACUGCCAUCGCGUGGGUCGUACGGCCUUAGGGCGACACCGCCUGGGGCCGUGCGACCCACGUACUGGUGGUGCAUGGCGACGGCAGUGCGUGGCGAUCGGAUAUGGCAGGCUGAGCAUCGCUCAACCCGUCGCAUGGGUUGCGCGACCCAGGCGACGGUGCCUGAGGCCGCGACCCACGCGACGGUGGUGUGUGGUGACGGCGGUGUGUGGGCGACCAGCUCCGGCUAGUUGAGCACUGCCGGCUGAGCUUCGAUCUUGAAGAAAUAAGGAAGACGAUGAACAAUUGUUUGUUAGGGUAAAACAAGAAAACUCAAUUAUCAAUGAGGGAAAAGUGGAAGAAAAAAAAUUCUAUAAACCCCCCCUUUAGCAUUCUGAAAAUGUUGAAUGCCCAAAGCAGGUGGGAACCUACUUUGGGCUUUCAGCAUUCUAGAGCAUUUCAAAUGCUAGCAUUCUCCCAAGUAUACCUCCAAAUGCUUAACCAAACGGUUGAAAUUUUUCCCAAGGGGCUUUCGGGGCUGAAAGCCCCUUGGGAAUGCUGAACCAAAUAGCCCCAAAGGGCAAGAAUUUUACAAAAUGGAAUAAAUCUGAGUAAAAUCGAGCUGAUUACGAAAUCACGCUCCGAUUUGCAACUUUGAUUUAAUGUGACAGAAGAUGGAAACUCGGAAAAUGCCAUACAAAGCAGCCGUCUAGAAUCAUUAUAAAAGAGAGCUUCAUUUUUCGUAACUGGGGGUGGAGAUUUCAAAAUUUAUGAGAAAAAAAAGAAGACAGGAAAUUGGAGAGGAAUUCGAAAAAUUGGAGAGCAAGUACGUGAGGAGUCUUGUUCUUUUGGGUUUAGUGAGUGGGAAUUCGAAAAGAAAAAAUAUUCUUUUGGAGAGAAAAGGUUAAUUCGCUCAGCCUUGGUCGAAGGAAAAGGGGGGGGGGCUAGAGAGCAAUACAAGUGACGUGAGAGAGAGGACAGGUGAGAAAAAGAAGGGGCAACAGUGUUGUCUUCUUCGUGGACCCCCUGUCCACGUCGACCCCACGUCUACCUCGCCGUCACCACCUUCCCCAACCGCUACUGCGCCUAAACCACGCUGUGUCGCCGGCCUCGCCGCUCCAACUGCACCUUAGCCCUCGCUGAUCGAGAUCUACCCGCAACCCAGCACUUCAUGUACCCUGCUCUGGUCACAAUCGAUGCCACUUGAGCCUGAAAUAGCCACUACUUGCCUCCUGCUGUCGCUCGCCCGCAGCAGCUGCCGAAACCCCUCGCUAGUGACCUCUGCCGCAACGACCUAACGCCGCGACCCAUCGGCUCCCACAGCUCCGCCAAUCACCGUCGCCACGUCGUUGCUCACGACCCAGUAAGCCGAUGCCAAUCCGCGACGCCUGUGAUGCUCCUUGAUGCUCCGCUCGUCGCCCAACAGUCUCGCCGCGCCGUCUCCGCUUUGUCCGUCGAACCCCCUCACGGUUCUCUGCCUCUGCUUCAACGCCCGAUGCCAACAAUAGCUACGCCUGAAGUCAUUGCCCCGAAGACCAGCGACUGACGUCCCUACUUAACCCGACACCCUGCUGCCCAGAGCUGAAGCCCUACGACCCAACGUCCCUGACCGCCGCACCUCACGCCUAAAUGUUGCCCUCGUUGCCCACAUCGGACGUGCUGCUUGUCGUGCCCUCGUCGAAAACCCUUGCCGGAGCUCCAAAUCAACUAAGAUUUUUUUUUAGGUACAUUUAUUUUAUUUUAUUAGGAAGGUUUAUUUUAUUUUAUUGUUUUUUUUAUUUCUUGUUUUUUCUUACUUGAGAUAUUUCCCUAUGCAUAAUUAGAAAUUAUGACAUGCCACCUGAUUCGUAACCGUGGCUGAAUUUUAUAUUUCAUCUAUGAAGCCUUUGAUGAAAUAAAUAAUUAAAUGAGAAUAAGAUUGAUACUCUGAUCUUUAAGGCUUAAGAUCAAUUUAUCGAUUUUAUUAGCGAAAUAUUAUCCCUUGAUCUGAUCUUUGAUAAUUUUGAAUGGUUUGGCUUAUCUUGAUUGCUUUGUUUAUUUUGAAAUAUGUUUGAAUUAGAAUAUCGAAUGGUUUAGGAUUAUCUUGCAUGUUUAGGGUAGGAAUUUUAUUAUUUCGAAUUUUAAAAAAUAACAAUAAAAAUAAAAAAAUAUCAAAAAGAAAUCAAAUUGAUUUAUUUAGGUUGCUAGUUUUUUUUUUUAAAACUUGGAAUGCAUGUUUAAUUAUUUGGCAAUUAUUAAUUUCAAAAUUAAAAAAAAUGGGGGGAAAAAGGAAAAACAACAAAAAAUCAUCAUGCAUAUGUCAUGUAGAGUCAAGGUAUCUUUUUGUACGUCAUUGCAUAUUAGGGUAAAAUUGCACUUAGUUUAAUUCUAGAUAAUAUUUUUCUUAAUUUAUUAUAAGUUUAGAUAUUAGAUAGAUUGCAUUUUAGGAUUAUUUGGGUUAAGAUAAUAUUUUAGUUUAAAUUAGGAUUUGGCUUAACCUAAUUCUUAAUGCAAAUUAAAUAGAAUCUUAAUCUAGUUAGAUAAUUUUUCACAUUUUUCCUAAUUCCGAAUUUCAUGAAAAAUACAAAAAAAAUGUCUUAGAAUAAAUUAGUUCCAUUCUCUAGGAUAAAAUGCAUUUUUUAGAAAUAAAAAAAAAAUGUCAUGUAAAUGUCAUAUAGGAUUAGAUUCAUGAAAUGCACGUCAUUUAGAGAUUGUUAUUAGGUCCAUUUAAUUAGAAAUUGCAUGUCAUUAUAAUUAGGUCAUUUAGUAAUAUUGCACUGCAUAUUGCAUGAUUUUCAUUAAUUAAGUGAAAACAAAUAAAAGAAAUUGCGUGUUAAUUAGAAAUCAUAUCUAGAGUUGUAAUGUGGAUUCUAAUUUAACAUUGUAGAUGUUUUUGUUGCUUUGAGGUAAGUUUUGCAAUUUAUUCAUUAUUUAUCUGGGUGUUAAAUUGGUGGUUUGCGCACCCGCAUGAUCACCUCACAUGUUAGAGAAAUAGAUUUAAAAUCAAUUUAAGCUACCUACAAAAAAUAUUUUUGAAAAUAAAAGAAUGGUACCGAAAGGGUAUUAGAGAAAUCUGGUGUAACUAAGUCCCUGUACCCAUAGUCUCUGGUUCGUAGGAGUAAAGUAAAACUCACAUUACUUUACUUGGGUUUCUAAUCGACCCACCAAAAAAUAGAUUAGUGACGACUCCUAGAUAAAAUUUAUUUACAUGUUAAAAAACUUAAACUUAAGUUGCGAAUUGAUAUAGGCUUGGAAGAGCCCGAGUUAAGUCUAGGCUUAAUAAUCUAUUAGCCAAACCCUAGGUGGAUCACCCCCGAAAGUUUUGUCGCGACAGAUGUUAUAUCACUUUUUCUUUUUUUUAAGGAAUUAUCUGCCCCAUAACGUUGUUAAUGAUUACUGGCAAAUCUCAUUCAGAAUGCAAUAAAGCCUAGAUUGAAAAUACUAUAUAACAAUUCUAGUAUCUUUUGAGAGUCUCUUUAUGGAAACAAUUGAAAUGAUAUUUGUUGACACCUAAAUUUUGACGACCCUAAGGAAAUAAAAUAAAAAUCACAUCAAAACAAGAAAAAGGAAAAAAAAGGGGGGGUGGAAAUCGAUUUGAUUGAUUAUGCAUGGAAGUUUGAAAUUAUGAUGAAUAUUCAGAUUUUGAUAAAUGUAGAAGCAAUUAAAAAAUCAAGUAAACAAAGGGCAAUGAUUUCGAUAAAAUGGAAGAAAUCAAGCAAAAUCUAGCUGAUUACAAAAUCAUGCUUCGAUUUGCAGCCUUGAUUUAAUGCAACAAAAGAUGAAAAUUCGAGAGUUGCUAUAAGAAACGGCCAUUUGGAAAUCACUAUAAAAAGGGCCACAAUUUUCAUGACGAAAGGGGGGGAAGAAAAAAAUUGGAGAAAAAACGUGAGGGCCUUCCUUCGGUUUUAGGAAAGGAGAGAGAAAAAAAAAAGAGAGGAAAAGUGACCGGUCUGUAGUGAGGGAGAGAGAAGACCGGAGAGAGAGAGAGAGAGAGAGAGAAGAUAAAAAGAAAAGGGCCAUUGCAUCGUCUUCUUCACGAAGGGAGGGAGCCUUGACCAUGCCGGCCUCGCGCCUGCACCGGCCGCCGCGCUGAGACCACCUUUGCCAGCCACGUCCGACGCCUUGACACCUGUUGCCUCGCUGCUUCCCCCUGCGACGCCAGCAUCUCAGAUCCCCCAACCGCGAACCAACUACACCACCACUGCUUCAUCUUCUUGCAGCAACCGAAGCACGACCAGUGACGACUAUAGCAAACCAUCGCCCAGCAGCUUGCUAGCGCGCCGAAGCCCCAUUCAUCAUCUGCAGCAAUUCACCCGCGACGCCACAACUUGCGCUUUCGUCAGCAUUCGCCCCGUCUAUCUUGCAGCCGCACCGACUCGCAACCCACUACUACUCCUGAGAUCCCGGUGAAACCGCUACUGUCCCUGCUUCGUCAUUGAUCUGCUCGCUCCUCAGCCGCGACCCAAUGCUACCACAACCGUUGAACUGUUGGAUAUAUUAUUAAUAUAGUCUAAAAUAAUAUGUUCACAUACAAGCCCAAUAGGUAAAAGUAUGGUUAUUUGAAUCCAUAUGGGCUGGAGCUCAAUAACUUGCAUAUAAAAACUCUAGGGUUACCCUAUGCUAGAAGUAACACUAUUGAGCAUUUCAAACUUAAUGUCUCUCGGUGUAAUACUUCAAUCAACCUCUUCUUCUCUCUCAAACCUAUAACCUCCAACAAUCUUGAAGUAUUACGGUCGUGUGUUGGAUUUGAGCGAGUAAGGUGUCUUCUUGAAGAUUUCGUUAAGACGAAUUCACAAGUGUAAUUUACUUUCGAUUUCGAUGGUGUUAUUGGCCGGGAUAUGAGUUUGAAGAUUCGGGUGACCGAAAUAUUUGAUUCAAAAAUCCAAAAACAUUAUAGCUAAUUUUAGAGAGUGAAACCACUUGGGCUUUAUUCUACUCAUUGAUACGAACGUUUUGAGUGAUCACUCACGUCAAUCGGAGGUCAGAAGUUACGGCACCCGGAAGUUUCAAUUUGAAUUUCUAGUGAAUUUCAGGGACGAAAUUUCUGCGAAUUUUGGUGGCAGAAAUUUCCAGCGAGUUUCAUUGACAAGGGCAGUCCAUUUUAAUGUUUUUGGGUGCUCCAGAUUUGUUUUUGGGGUUUGUUUUGGUAAAUUCCAUCUCUACAAAGCAAUUUAAUCAAGGUUAAGGGAGUUAUUCGACUUUGUGCCUCCAAGGACUCUAAGGUGCACUCUUUCUAACACUUUGCUCUGAUUAAAAUGGCAAAGCGUAGUUCCUAUGAUAUUAUAAAGUUACAAUCAUUUGAUGUUACUGAAUUUCAUGGCUGGAAAUUACAUGUUCAAUUCUGCAUGAAAGAACGUGACAUAUUCUACACUGUAUUAAGUGAUUUUGCAUCUACCACUGAAGAUGUAGAUAAAUAUUAAUGGAAAAAUGAUGAUGAUUUUUGUAGAGAUUACUUGUUGAACUCUCUAAAUCCUAAUCUGGCUAUGACUUAUAGUGAGUAUAAAACAACAAAAGAGAUAUGGGAUCACUUGAAUGCUUAGUUCCAAAAACAAGAGGAGCUCUCUAAAACUCUCUUAGCGGAGAAAUUCUUUGACUUUAAAUUCACUAUGAAUUCAAGCAUUACCUCUCAGUUAGUUGAAUUUGAGAACAUGAGGAACAAGCUAAAAGAUGAUAACUCUGAUAUGUCCGAUAAUCUCUUUGCCAGUCUUGUGUUGAGCAAACUACCAACUAAAUGGAGUUCUUUCAAGACUGAAAUGCACAGAGUGAAGGUACAGAUGAGAUUGGAUGAAUUAAAGAAGUAUAUUCACAUUGAGGAUCAAAAUAUUAUUAGGAAGAGUUUGGAACAAGUGGGACAACAAAAGUUUGUUGCCAACUUAGUUUCACACUCCAAUAAACCUCAGAAAAAGUUCAAGUCACCAAAAGGUAAAUCAUCUUUACAAUUAGAGGCCAAAAAGACUAUCUUCAAAAAGAAGAAGAAUGACAAGUGCCAUAACUGUGGAAAGUGGGGUCAUUGGGCAGCAUAGUGUAAGUUGCCGAAGAAGCCAACAAAUGACACACCACAAAAUGAGGCCAAUAUGCUAAUUAGAGGAUCUGAGCCUCAAGCCUUCAUUGAAAUGAUGAAGAAUGGAAAGGCCAGCGUCUCUUCGGAGUGGUGGUUGGAUAGUGGCGCUACUUGUCAUGCUACAAAUGACAAAAACUUACUUUGGUCACAGAAAUGCAAGACACUGUGGAAAAUUGCAAUGGUGGUGAGGCGAAGGUGACUCAUGCUAGAACUAUAAAUUUGGUGCUUUCUUCAGAUUGUCGCACUCUAAGUUGUCUGUGACACCUUAUGAGAUAUGGCAUAAGCGCCCUUGUAGAUAUGAUACUCUUAAGACUUGGGGUUGUAUUUCUUAUGUAAGCAUACCAUAUCCUAAGAAACCUAAGAUGAGAUCUAGAACCAUUACUUGUGUAUAUCUAGGUAGUGUAGAAGAUAGUGCUGCAAAUAGAUUUUUAGAUCUAUCUACUAACACAGUAAUAGAAUCUAGAGAUGUAGUAUUCUUCGAAAACAAGUUUCUCAGAGAUCAAGGCUUGAAUGUUUCUGAAUCUACAGAUAUGAUUUCAGAAUCUCCUAUAGAAUCUGAAGCAAGCCCUUCUAACACUAACUCUAUACAGUUGGCUAUUAAACUAAUUCCAGUUAAAGUAUUUACAAGAGAGAGAAUUCUCAAAAGUUUUGGUAAGGACUUUGUUGCUUACUAUCUUAAGGAUGAUCCAUUCUCCUAUCAAGAAGAAAUGAGAUCUAAGGAAUCUCUACUAUGGGAAGAAGCCAUAGAUGAUGAAAUGAGCUCUCUACUACAGAUUCACACUUGGCAACUAGUAAAUUUGCCAAAGGGGGCUAAAGCUAUAGGUUGUAAAUGGGUAUUUAAGAAGAAAUUGAAUGGUGAUGGAUCAAUAGCCAGAUACAAAGCACGUUUAGUAGCUAAAGGCUAUAAACAACAGAGUGGAAUAAACUAUUGUAAUGUCUAUUCACAUGUGUGUCAUCUAUCAACUAUAAGAAUUCUUCUUGCUUUGGCAUCUACUGAAUACUUUGUAGUGUAUCAAAUGGAUAUAAAAACAAAUUUCUUUAAUGAGGAUUUAAAUAAAGAAAUUUACAUGGAAUAACCGGAAGGAUAUAUUAUGAAAGGUCUUGAAGACAAAGUUUGUAAAUUGAAUAAAUCCUUAUAUGGGCUUAAAAAAGCAGCUAACAUGUGGCAUCUUAAAUUUGACAAAGUGGUAACGAGUUAUGGCUUUCAGUCUAGUUAUUUAGAUAAAUGCAUUUACCAUCGUUCUAUGUCAAAUAAGAUAGUCAUCAUUUGCUUGUAUGUUGAUGAUAUGUUAAUUCUUGGUUCCGAUCAUUCUGUAGUAAGUGACAUGAAAGAUCUUGGUAUUGCUAAUAUCAUUCUUGGUAUGAAAGUAAGCUUUAAAUGGUAAGUCAACUCCCUUAGCUAGACUCAUUAUAUUGAGCAGCUACUUUCUACUUGGGGAUACGAUAAGUGUAAACCGAGUGAGACACUAUGUGAUUAUAAUAACAAAUUGAGUCCUAAUGAAGGGACCAACGUGAAUCAGUUAAAAUACUCAAAACUGCUUGAUAAUCCCAUGUAUGUUAUGAGUUGCGCUAGACCCGACAUACCCUUUACAGUUGGUAUGCUGAGCCAUUUUACUAGUAAUCCUAGUAAAUAGCAUUGGAAUGCCCUCGAGAGGCUAAUGAGAUACCUUAAAUGUACUAAAGAUUAUGGUCUAUAUUAUUCUGGUUAUCCUCCAACUGUGGAUGGAUAUUAUGAUGCCCCAUGGUGCUAAGAAAUUGGAAAUAGUAAGUCCACUAGUGGAUAUGUAUUCACUUUGGGUGGAGCUGCUAUUACUUGGAAAUCCAAACGACAGACUUGUAUUGCAUUGUCGUCUAUGGAAUUGGAACUUUUUGCUUUAGCCUCAGCCGAUGAAGAGGCAGAGUGGAUAAAGAAUCUGAUUAUGGAUAUUCCUUUGACUCGGCUAAAGAUUAAUUCUUUAAACCUAUUCUGUGGUAAUCGAGCAACUGUCCAAGUCGUCAAGAAUGCUCACUUUAAUUCAAAGAGAAGACAUGUGAGACUGAGACAUGCGUUGUUGAAUUAUCUGAGAGAACAAAGGAUUAUCACCUUGAUCGAUGUGAGAUCGAAGGAUAACAUAGUCAAUACUCUCACCAAAGGUAUGCUUAAAGAUCGAUUAUUCAAAACUGUGGGGGGACUAGGGUUAAAGACUAUAUAGACAAGUCUUAACUACCAUUUACUUACCUUCUAAUUGUGUGUUUUAAAUUAUCGAAUCUUUCUUUAUUGGCUACAAUGAUAAGCACAAUUUAUAUGUUUCAUCGAUGUUCACAGUUGCUGACUAAUUUGAAGAGUGUGAAUUGUCUCAUUCCAAACUUGAUGAAUAUGACUUUAACCUAAUUCAAAUGUUCUAUCAGGGAAAUUUGUGUCAGUCCAAACUUGAUGAUACAAUUCAACUAGGUUAGACUAUCAUUUUUGGUUAAAUGAUCUCAUUCCAAACUUGAUGCUAGAUUAUUUGACUUUAAGGAAUCAAUAACUGUGCAUUCCAAAUUGAAACAUAGAAACAAUUGUUUUCAUAAAAAGCCUGCUGGUCUUGUUCUUAAUUGAAACUUGAUAUUACAUUACUAGGUUAUUGUAGGUGACUUGACUAUUGGUCAUGUUCUUUGAAACUAGACAAUAGUUAUUCUCCUACAAAUAAACUUAAGUUGAUGGCUCUUUGUAAAUCACAUUGUUUAGGUCUUGUUCAUAAUAUAUGAAACUUGAUUGAUGCUUAUGAACAUGAUAUUAUAAUUCUUUAUGACAUCAAUAUAUGUUCUUCUAUAAUAUGUUGCUAAGUUUUUAUUCAAAUGAUUGAAUUCAUGAUAAUAUGAAAUUCAUAUUUGACAUACUACAGGGGAUGGCAGAGAUGGAGGAGAGCUUAGUGAGUGGGAUCCUGACCAGGAUGACCUACUUGAUGAAUGAAUAUAUAUCAUUUAGAGCGUGUGGGGACUUGAUAGUUUACCUGGUACUGCCUAUUAUAGUGGAGUCCAUUUAUUUGAGACUUGCAUUUUGUUAUUUCUAUUCUGUGAACAUUAUUUUUUAUAUUUGUAAGGCCUUGGACUAUUUUGACUGGCCUACUUAUACUUACUUGACUAAUAUGCAUAUGUUAGUUGUGAACUAAGUCUGAGAUUUAUUUUGAGUGUUAGGAUUUGGAUGAGUGUAGACUGAAUCUAAAACUCAUAAUACUUAUUUUGAUUUGUUGAUCUCAUAACAGAUUCAUGGUAAGAAUGAGUAAAUGAUGAUUUAGUUUAAUACUUUACUGCCGAAAUACUUUUUGACUGAUCCGAGUUGAAUGUCUUGGACUGAAUGUUGAUGAUUCAUGUUUGUUUGAACAUUACACUGAUUACCUUAUUGGAUUGUGUUGUAUGGUGAACAUAGGAGGAGAUUGUUGGAUAUAUUAUUAAUAUAGUCCAAAAUAAUAUGCUUACAUACAAGCCCAAUAGGUAAAAGUAUGGUUAUUUGAGUCCAUAUGGACCGAAGCCCAAUAACUUGCAUAUAAAAACUCUAAGGUUUCCCUACGCUGGAGGUAACACUGUUGAGCAUUCCAAACUUUACGUCUCUUGGUGUAAUAUUUCAAGCAACCGCUUCUUCUCUCUCAAACCUAUAACCUCCAACACAAAUUGAUGUUGCCCUGCUUAGCUGUUUACGACCGCCCAGCGCCGACUUGCCUUUGCUCCACCUCAGCCGCAACCCUAUGCCCCUACUCGUUGAACGCCACAUUGUCGUUCCUCUAGUUACCAUCGCGUUCCGCCUCACCUGCAACUCGCGAGAUCUCGACAAAGCUGCUACUGCACCACUCAGUCCGUGAUCUGCUCGCCCAGCUGUGCUGCAAUGACCUGAAGCUCUGCCGCUCACCACCCAUCCGCUUCCACCGACUAUUCCCUUCUGAAGCGACACUCGCUCUGACUAGUGUCCCUGCCGUCGGGUUGCCAAUCCCACCGGUUCAUCCUCACCGGAGCUCCAACCCCUUACACCGCGUCUCCCUUGCCCGUGUCAACGCUGCUACUCUCCCUCCAUUAUGUGGCUUAUUUUUAUUUUAUUUUUCCUUUAUUUUAGGUUUUUUUUUUUUUUUAGUUUCAAUAUUAUUGUUCAGGAAUGUGAUUUUCAUUUUAUGCAUAUUCUAGACAUUAUCCAUAGGGGUUUUGCCCAAAAUUAUUAUAAUUAUCAAUUUGAUCCGUAAGACAUCGGAUUUUUUUUUUAAUUAUAUUAAUUUUUGGGUAUUUUGAUAGUAUUUUAAUUGUUAAAUCAGUAUAGUUAUUAAUUUGAUAUGUAAGGCUUUGGAUCAUAUUUUUGAUUAUUUUGAACUUUUUUUCAUGAUGUUUAGGGUUAGAGUAAUCAUUAAUUUAACCUGUGAGACAACACGUUAUUUUUUUUUUCGAUUAUGUUAAUCAUUUAUUUGGUGGAUAUCUUGAUUAGUUUAGAUGUAAUUUCAUAAUUUCUUGUCUUGGAAAAGCACUAAAAAACAUAAAAAUCAAAAAAUCAAAUCUUGCAUCGGAGUGUGUUAGUAAAUUAGGAUUGCAUUUUUUAGGAUUCCACUUUUAGAUAAUUUUUGGAAUAAAUUAGGAUUGAUUUUUUUUUAGAUAAGACUCUUAAAUAAUGUUUGCACAUUUUUAGAUAACCUCAUUUUUCUUUAAAAAUAGUUUUCUAAGAUAAGAUAGGGUUUAAGUCAAAUUAAUCCCUAAAACAUAUUAGAAAAUUAUUCAUUUUAGAUAGUUUAAUUAAGGUUUUUAUUAAUCCCAAAUUUAAUAAGAAAAAUACAAAAAAUUAGGUGCAUGUAAAUUAGUUUGCAUGUUAGGUUAAUUUAAUUAGAAAUAGUUUGUUAGUAAAAUUAGGUCAUAUAGUUUAAAUGCAUGAUUUAUGAUAAAGUUCUAUUUAAAAGAAAAAUCCAAAAAAAUAUUUGCUUUAGUGUGUGGAAUUCAUUUGGUGCAAUUUAUUUUAUUCAAUGUUUAAUAAUGAUUGAACAUCUGUGUGAUCACCCCAUUGCAAGAUAGUAAUUUAGGUUAAAAUAAAUCCAAGCUGCCUGUAAAAAUAUUUUUGAAAAUAAAAAGAAAUGGUACCGAAAGGGCAUUAGAGAAAUCUACUGUAACCAAGUCCCCGUACCCCUAGUCUCUAGUUCGUAGGAGUAAAAUAAUUCUCCCAUUAUUUUACUUAGGUGCCUAAUCGACCUACCGUAAACCGAUUAAUGGUGACUCCUAGAUAAUAAUCAUUUGCAUGUUAAAUAUUUGAACCUUAAGUCACAAAUUGGUAUGGGCUUGGGAGAGCCCAAGCUAAGUUUAGGCUUAGUAAUCAUUAGCCUAAUUUUAGGUGGUGCACCUGAAAUUUAGGUCACAACAGUAUUUGUAUUUUUAAAAAGAAAACUCAAAACUACUUUUUUUUUUGGUAAAAGGUAAUAAAUAUACUGAGGAAAGACCAAAUGUAUAAAAGAUUACGGCACCAAAAACUUACACUCAAAAUGAGAAAACAUUAUUAGUGGAAGGAUGUCGAGAUGUAAAACUAGAACAUGUGGCAAACCAAACCAAGGAAGCCGAAAAAAAAAAACAAAAGACAAGCAUGGCAUGAACAAUCGGCUACCGGAAAACAAGAAACCUCGACCAGCUAAACUUGGGGAGGCGAUUAAGGGUCUCCAGAGAAAAUAAUUAGGUCAAAGCCCCAGCUCCACUGCAACCUUUGUUCCUAAAGUUAUCAUCAACGUUCCUAAAGGUGAUAGCCUUAUCUCUGACCACUUUAAAAAGAUGGUUCUUCAUAGCCGGAAUGGUAAGAGGCUAAUCACUAAAAAAAGACUUGAUUAUGAUUGAUACUAAAAACAGACAUAGUCGUCUUAGUCUUUUGAACAAAGGCAACCUUUCGGAAAAGUUACAGAAUAAACAAGUACGUUUUCAAAAGUUACAUUAAAAAGACAUGAAAAACUCAAAAUGUAUGAAUAAUGAAUAAAAAAUAGCCGUAACUUAUUUGUGAAUAGUGGCACUAUUUUAAUGGAACGCUAUGGUUAAUUUUAAAAUUAAAAAUCUGAAUUUUUUAAUAUAAAAUAAUGAUAGUUGAUUAAUGUCAAAUUUUGUCCAUGUGUGCACUUACAUCUUUUUGAUGUGGGACAAAACACUUCUUAGUUUGUUUUACAAACAAACUACCAAUAGUGGAGCCUUAUGUGGUGCACAUAUAAAUUAGGCGGUUUGCACACAUACUUGUAAGACAUUCUUCCAAACUACAAUGAGCUUUCUUUUAAAUUAUUCAUAUGAUUUUAGAUAAUAUCUUAAAGUCUUAGGCAAUUUCAUAUCCUUUUUUUGAUUAUUUGAUUAGAUUUUUAGGUAAUAUCUCAAGAGAUUUUCUACACUUUGUGAAUGGUUCUCUGAUUAUAUAUGAUCAAUGUUUCUUUAGGAUUUUAUGGCUUUUAAUUCAGAUUUCUAUUAUUCUCAUAUGUAAGACCGUUUUUUAAUGAAUUUCAGAAUAUAUUAAGAGAGGUUUUAUCAAAUUACUCAUAUGAACUUUUAUCAUGUUAUUGUAGACCAUUUAAAGAGUUUCUUAUCUUAAAGAAAAAAGAAAUUCGUAAUGCUUGAUAUGAAGUAAGAGAAAAGGCGACAAAAUGGGCAAGACGAGCCACCCCUAUUGACCCAUGCCCUAGGAAAAGUUGUUGUCUCAUUCAUCCGAGGGCAUCUUUACACCUUUAGAACUAUCAAAUCUACUUUGACUUCUGAGGUACGAGAAUCAUCCUGGAAAUGGGUGUUUUGUUACCUAACUUAUUUUUCAUUAUUUUGGCCAAUAUUUGUUACCUAACUUGACUGUUCCUUAAAACAUUCAAUGGGCACACGUCCAUUACUAGAUUGAGUGUCAUGCACAUCUAGUACAGUUCAAUGUUUCGUGGAGGUCAUGCACAUCUAGUACAGUUCAAUGUUUCGUGGAAAAUUGGACAACAAUCCUCAUCUAAUGCAAUAUGUAUCUAUCGUUAAGGACUUAUCAACAAUGUCGGCUUGCUCUUUGUAAGUAACUUAAGAUACUCACUCUUUGUUUUGGUGUAUAUGUGUGCCAACACAACACCUAAACAUGAGACCAAAUUAACUUAAUUUCGUAACUAAAUUGAAGGUAAUCUCACAUGCUUGAGGGCUCUUGAGCUCUUAAUUAAUCUACAUGAUAGUUAAUGAGGUUGAUUCCCUAACCCCGAGGCCUUUUUUUUUUAUAAUAAAUCAUGGGCACUAGCAUAGAAAUCCGGCUAUUUGAAGGCCCCUAUAACACUUUGCAAAACGUGUCAAAGAAUCAUUUAAGUUCAGACCUUUACCCUAUGUAAGCGAACCUAAUUUAGAGCCAUUUGUGCGUAAUUAGUGGGAUAUGAUCAUAUUACCCUUUAAUUCCUAAGUUGGUAAUUCCUGAUGCUACAAUCAACUACACCAACCUUAGUAGUUGAGGCCUAUUAUUGUCGAUGUACAGUCAACCACACUCAUCCAUUUAGGUCACAUCACUUAGAUCAUGGGGCCAUGGGUUGUUAGUUCAUUACAAACUUUUGUGCCCGUCGUCGUCAGUACAAACUAAAUAAGAAAUGGAUUAUAUUUAUCUCUAUUGAUGAAAGAGAGUAACUUUCCCCAAUUGGAUUUUUAAUUCGUGGGUUUCUAACAAAAAUAUCAUCUAUAUUUAUGUUUAGCUCAAUGUGGACCACAACAAACUUUAUGAAGAUGAUAAUAAGUGGAUGAAACCAUUCGCAUUACAUCUAUUAGAAUGCGCUUUUUUUUUCUUUUUUUUUUUGUGGACCAUCUAUUUGAAUGUACCGUCCGUGAAGAGGUUCAGAAUCCAAGGCAUUGUUUCCAUGAAGCUGGGAAAGAAUUUGUCUAUACAGGUGUAGGCCCCCUCCUGAUAUAUUUGACUCUUUUCUUGAGUACAAAGUAGGUCAUGAGAGCUCACUAGCGAAUGCAACAUAAAGUAGAUCCCCUUUGACCAAGUGAAAGCAUAUUCUCAAAUUAGGCACUUAAACUUUGGACAUUGAGGAUUUGACUUCUGAGAGUGACUGUAAAAAAAAAAAAAAUGUAAAUCAUGCAAGCAAUUGAUAUUUUUGUGUGGUUAGAUGUGAGGUGAGAAUGACAACAUGAAAAGCAAGAAAUGAUGGAGAUAGAGCAUUACAUCUCACGUGACAUCGUUUUGUCGCAUGAUUCGCAUUUACGUAGUAAAAUUUUGGCCCGAAUCUUUACUUCUUUUACUUUUCCCUUUGGCCAAAUUCAACUUCUUCUGACAUACUCGAUAUAUAUUAGAAUAGUCCUCGAGAUUAUCAAACUUCUGCACUCAUAACAUUGGAUUAAUAAGAAAAAUAGGAAAAUAAAAGGAUGGCAAGUCUUGGCAUAAAGACAAUUUCUUUGAACGUCCACGGCUUAUCAUUUAAAAAUCUUCAAUACUCAAGUCCUACGAUCGGAUUCGAUAUCGAAAUUAAUGCGAUACUGUGGGAAAUGUGGAUUACAGAAUUAACAACAUCAGACAUAAUAUGUCACACACAAAGAAGUAAAAAUGCAUACAAACUCUUUAAUAAUUCUAGAGAUAUAUAAGAGUUACACAUUAAAUGGGUUUACUAAAUGAUAUGGCAAAGAGCAAGUGGUCAUUUAAGUUAGCUCCCGAUAAAGAUGUAGCAAUAUCAUUAGAUAAACUCUUUUAGCAUCUAAAAUCUCAACAUGAGGUCAAGUGGAAAUGGAGCAAACCCGUAACCAUGAUCGAUCACAUCAUGCAAAAGUGAUGUCGCCAGAGAGUGUCGACAAGCGUAUUCAUGCACUCUCUUGCUUUCCUCCCUCCAUAUCCUUGAACUUGGACUUUGUGAUGUUUCAGUAAGGGAAAAGGAAAGUUGGGAACUACUCAGAUUCAUUCGUUCGGAAUGUACCAAACCACCUUAUUUCAGUGACCCACUGAAGAAAAGGGAGCAACAACUUGGAAUUGCACCACGUGGAUGUCUAAGAACAAGCCUCCAUCCCCGAAGUCAUCGGCUACUAUCAAAAGCGACACCCACUUUAUGCGUCGGUAUUAUAAAUAAAGCAUCAAAGAGAUCAGUCUCUCCACGCAAUUUGUACUUGCGGAGUGCAUAAUCCAGGAAAAAUAUGGCUAAGAAUUCGCAGUCUCGUGGUUUAGCAGCUCUUCUUCUCCCUCUCCUAUUGUUGGGCUCGGUGAUCUCCAAGACAGAAGCCAUUAGGCCAUUGGAGGGUGCGGAAUUGCCCCGUGCUUUGGUGAGCAUGGAUCACCUUUUCCGAAAGAAAACGGCCGUCAGAAUGAAGUUAAAUGAUGGCCCGAGUCCUGAAGGUCCCGGGCACAGGUACAAGGCCUCGUGGCUCACUGGUCAAAGCGACGAGAACCGUUUGAGCCCCAACGUGGAGCACAAAUAGCUGCGAUCCGCCAUUUCCUAAAGUCGUUUAAGGGUUUAUAUGCAAUCAGUAGAUCUAGAUAUUUGGAUUCGGUAGAUCUAGCAUGCGACUCGAUUGAAUUCAGACCUACGGGGUUCAUAGAUGAGUUAUUAAAGUAUUGCACAUCUUUUAUUUCGAAAUGUUAGUCGUUUGAUCUACCGAGAGUUACCGAGCAUUGAAACACUCAUCCAGGGCACACCAGGGAAUCCCUUUUUAAUCUUUGUUCCUUAGAGUGGUAAUGUUUACACACGAGCUACUCUAAUUGUCAUAGUGUACUUUGGCUUUAUGGUUCUCCUCGAUUAUGUUAUAAGUACACACUUAUUGCGUGUUAACACAGAUGAAAUACUCCUCUAUUUUCUUUUUAUGUUUUUAUUUACUUCUUUCUUGUUUUUCAACUUUGGGAAUUGCCUUUGUUGCCAAUGACUAUGCGAGUCGAUUGACUCCAUACAAAUCGUACGAGUUGAGCCACAGGCGAACAAAACACAACGCCUCAUCAGUCAACGAUAAUUUAUGGGCAUCGCAAUCCUUACCUUUCUUUCCAUUUUUGUCAAAUUAAGUUUAUGCAUCAUCUUUUUUAGUACUAAUAAUGACACCGGCUCCAUUUGUUUUAUGAAAAAUAUAUGAAUUGAAAGAUAUUUUCCUAAAAUUGAUCAUUUAUAUCUCUUUAAAAAAUGAAUAAUCGAAAAAUAUUUUCAUUGUCCAUAAAAAUGUUUAAAUAUAAAUUAUUAUCAAUAAUGAAAACAUUAAAAUGUCCCAAGAAGAAAAUGAUCCUAUUUGACCGUUGUGCAUUGCUAACAUCAGAAAAUGGAAUAACCUGGAAUCUCAGUAACUAGCCGAGCUGCUAAAGUAGCUAAAGUAGUGACAAAUACCAUCAGUAAAAUAUGUCCAAAAGAAAGUUCAUCUAUUCUCGAUCUCUAGUUUUUCAUUGGCUAAUUCUUUUAAGCAGUACAAUGAAUUAUCUAAGGAAAAUAUUUUCCAAAUCAUUUAUUUUUUGUAAAAUAAAUUGUCUUCAUGUGCGCGCAAAUGAAAGGUAUUGGAGAACUAUUAUUAUAGACAUAAGUUGACUACACACGAAAUUAAUGUGCUGAUACAAUAUGUCUAAUUGGAGGAAGAAGAGGGAUUACAAGUGGCUUGAGAAAUACCAUUUAUUAACAACAAAGACCAUUUACUUCAAAACGCGAAGGAACGUGUAUGUUCAAACUUACUGUCUCAAAAAGAUUGGUUCUUCAUGCAAAAAUGAGGGUAUAUAAUAUUGACUGUUGAUAUGCAUUUAUUACUUAGAUCAGACAAAGAAGAGGAAAUACAAGUUGCACGAUAAAUGUAUGAAAAAAAAUGUGUCGUUCAAGUCAAAAUGAUACGCUCCAUAAGCACCUACUAAUUAUAUAGCCGAUAACUCACAGAUAAUAAUUGGUUAUACAAGAAACAAUUCGACAUCCACAUUGUCAUUGACUAACACCUUUUAAGUCCGUAAACUCUCAUUAAACAUGAUAUGUGUGUACAAUUAGUGAAUUUGGUAUUGACAUUGUAUAUAGGGUUGAGCGGUUUUAGAUUUCUCAUAGGUUUCACUUGGAACCUAUAACAUAUCCUUGAGAACAGAUUUCUCAUUUUUUUGGGAACCUGAUCCUACUCGUUGAAAUAUAGAACCCAAAACGCACCCUAUCACAAGUUCCGAAAUCGGUUCUAGGAUCCAAUAGGUUCUUCUUCUUCUUCUUUUUCUUUUUUAGUUAAAGCAAAUGAAAAUGAAUGCAAAAAUAAUGAAUAAGCUUGUCAUUCAUCAAAGAAUACAAGACAAACAAAUUUAUCAACAAAGGAAACGGAAUUCUUGGCAAGGAAUUCAAUUAGAUAAAAGACAAGAAAUGGAACAAAAUUCAAUAGACUUCAUUGUUGAUUAGGGAUGAGUGAUUUCAAGUUCCAUACAGUACCUACCCAUUUUAACAAAUUCUUUAUUUUUUGAAACCCGAACCUACUCCGUCAAGGUCUACCUAUGUUCUACCUAUAUUAUCAAUUGACCAAUUGCCGUACAUUAAAAUCUUUAAUGACUACCACUUACGGUUACAAUUUACUGACCAAAACUUAUAUUUAAACACAUAAAAAAUAUGAACAUUAAUAAAGUAAAAGUCUUAAUCAUAAAAUGGGAACUCAAACUAGUGCUUAAUUAUGCAUUCAUCAUUGAACGACAUGAAAUAUCACAAUAUCACGUGAAGACAUGGAUCAAGAAAACUAUUAAAAUUUGUUGUAGAUUCCAGGUUCCAAGUUUCAGGUUCUAAGUUCCUCUAAUCAAGAACCUAGAACUUACCCGUCGAAAUAGAUUUCUCAUUUUUUGGAACUUAGAACCUAUCUUCCAUACCUUGGAACCUUGAACUUACAAGCUCCCAAUGGUCCGAUCUUUAGUUCUAGGUUCUACCUUGAAAUCAUGCUCACCCUUAAUUAUAUUGUUGCGAAAAGAAAUGUAUGUUUAGGCAAAUAUGAAAGAUGUUCUAUUUUAUUUAUAGUUUUAAAAAUUAAAUGUUGUGUCUAGAUUAGAUGUGCCGUUUCAUAAUAAUAAAGGGUAAUUUUGAUUUGAGGAUAGUGACACAAAUAGUCCCUAAACCAUGGUCCAAUAUGUAAUGCGGGCCUUGAACUUUUAAUUUGUUCAAUGCGAUCCAUAAACUUUAACCUAAUGUGUGACAUCCUGAAUUUCAAGUUUUGCUUUCGACGGAUUGAGUUGGGUUUUUCAUCAACAUGUGUUGACACCAAAAUUUUGACGACCCUAAGGAAAUAAAAUAAAAAUCGCAUCAAAACAAGAAAAAAAGGAAAAAAUGAGGAAAAUCAAUCUGAUUGAUAAUGCAUGGAAAUUGGAAAUUUUGAUAAAUAUUCAGAUUUUGAUAAAUGCGGAAGCAAUUAGGAGAUCAGGUGAGUGAAAACCAAGAAUUUUUAUAAAAUGGAAGGAAUCGGAGCAAAAUCAAGCUGAUUGCGAAAUCACGCUCCAAUUUAUAGUCAUGAUUUAAUACAACAGAAGAUUUAAACUCAAAAAUUGCCACGGAAAGCAACGGUCUGAAAUCACUAUAAAAUUUUUGUGACUAGGGGGAAUUAAAAAAAAAAAACAUCGUGAAAAGAAUUCAUGCAAAGAAGUGCAGAGAAAAGCGUGAGGGAGGGAAUUCGAAAAUAGCAGGAGAGAGAAAAAAAAAAAGAGACAAGCCUCUUCCGUUCAUUUUCAAGUCAAUAGAAAGCACUCUUUCUUUUCUUCUGACAAGCUGUGUUGACGCCUAAAAUUAGUUAGGUUUUAUUUAGCUUCAUUUAACUUUAUUUUAUUUUAUUUUAUCUUUUUCGGAUAAUAAAUAAGCAAAUAAUGAAAAAAAAAACAGAAAAAGCAGCCUCCGCAUGGGCCUUCGGCCCAUCUCCGCCUCGGCCCAGCCCGAGCGAGUCUUCUUCCUCCCUGCGCCACUGCAACGCACGCGCGGGCAGGCGCGACGCCAGAGGGAGAUGGAUGGACGGCAGCGCACGUGAAGCAGAGGAGCAGUUGGCGUCGACAGGACGUGACCGGAGGGGGAGAUGAUGGCAGAUGGGACGUCGGUUCGGCCAGCGGAGGUCGUUCAGCGCGCAGGAACCGGCGGUCGAAGCUCCGUCGACCGACCGCCCCCCUCGCCUAUAAAUAGGGCUCCCCUGACAACGGUAAUGAGGACGCCGAGAAGGAUCGAAGGCUGCAGAUCCUCGAAAUCUCCCACUGAGAGACUUCAGACGGGGGGCCGAGGACGAGCAGGCCGAGAUCCAAGAACUCGCGGCCGGACACGAGGGGGAGAGAUCCGAGUGGGUGGAGGCUGAGCACAGAGAUCCCGGAGAGAGAGAGACGGAGCCAGAUCGAGUCGCAGCCCUUGGACACCCCACUGAGAGACUUUAGGGGGGCCGAGGGUUCGCAGCCUCAGAUCUGAGCCUCGCCGGAGGGGGAAAGUAGAGAGAGAAGCGCAGGAGGGGAAGGGAUUUGCGUGGGUCUCACUGUCGCGGUCUUCGCUCUUGUCGCGCCGUCGCCGAGCAGGUAUCGCGCCGUCACCAUCGCCAUCACCCCCUGUAGUCCAAUCGUCGUCGUCGUCUGCGUCGCUGCCCUCAUCGCCGUCGCCGUCGCCGCCGCCACCGCUGCACCUCAGCCUUCCCCUCUUCGGCGCCGCGAAUUGAGAACCCUAGGGUUUGCAUUUUUUUCGGGUUGCGGCCUCGGGUCAUCGGAUCGGACCCGGGCUGCGAACCGGGUAGGGUUUAGAGUGGGGGCUGCGACUCGGGUUGGAAGUCGGGUCGGACCCGGGUAGGGUUUCGCUAGGAAUCUCGGGUCGUCGGGUCGGACCCAGGUAGGGUUUCGCUAGGAAUCUCGGGUCGUCGGGCCGGGCCGGGCAUCCCCAAACGUCCAGCCACGGCGUCGUUUUAAUAUUUUUUUUUUUAAAAAAAAUAUGAAAAAAUCCGAGUCGGGCCCGCAACGCGGGCCCGUCCGUGUUUGGGUCGCCAGCCCGGGUCGGACCCAACCCGCGGAUCCGACCCGGGUUGGUUUUAUUUUGUUUUAUUAUUUUAAUAUAAAAUAAUAUUCUAAUAAAUAAUAAAUAAAUAAUUUAUUUAAAAAAAAUCAAAAAUGUUUUAAUUUCCAGAAAAUCAAAAAAUAUUUAAAAAUGUUGAAAAAUGUUUUAUUUUUUAAAAAAUCGAGAAAAAUGAAAAAUAAUUUAUUUUCCGAAAAUAUUUUAUUUUCCAAAAAAUAAAAAAAAUCAAAAAAAUUUCAUAUUUUCCAAAAUAUGCCAAAAAUCCAAAAAAAGCCAAAAAUUCAUGAAAAAGCCAAAAAAAAUUUAGAAAAGCCAAAAAAACUUGUAUUUUUCCAAAAAAUACCAAAAAAUCCGAAAAAAAAUCCCUUUUGUGUCCAAAAAUUAGAAAAUGACUCAAAAAAUGUUUUUCCUCCCAAAAAUGCAUGGAAAAUCCCUCGAACAUCCAAAAAACCUUAGGGUUUAAACAAGAUUAGGUACCGAAAGGGUAUUAGUGAUUAACUAGUGUAAUCAAGUCUCCGAUCCUAAUUUCUCUGGUUGCGCAGGAGUGAGUAUUUCUCCCGAUACUUCACUUGGGUUUCUAAUCAACCCACCCCAAAUCGAUUAGUGGCGACUCCAAUUUAAAAAUUAAUUUACAGGUUAAAAACUCAGACCAUUAAGUAGUGAAUUGGUGGACUUGGGAGAAUCCGGGCUUAAUAAAUUCAGUCGAACCAUUAGCCUCUUUAGGCGCUCGUACCCGAUUGCGGGCGCCGAAAAAAGAGAGGUCGCGACAGCUUGGCGACUCCGCUGGGGACUUUGAGGACUUAGGCAUUUUAUCUUUGUUUAAAUGCUUUGCUGACUUGGUUUUUUUUCUUUUAUGCAGGGUAAUAGCUUAAAGUUUUUUUAUUCUGUUAAAAUAAAAUGUUUUUGUGAUUAUAAACUGUUGUGCAUGCUUUAUUGUUUUAAACACUACACAUGGCACACACAACCCGGCCGCCGGACCUGGGCCGCCAUAGGAAUUCUAGGAUGGUGUUAAAAAAUAUACGACCUCGAACGCGAGACUGCGAUGUAGAGGUUGCCUUUCUUUUCCCCGAAUUUCUUAGCCAAGGUUAAGGGGGUAUGCUGCUAACGCGAGACUACGACGGGCAGAUACCUUUUUAAUUUCAUCAAGCCUUCUGAGUUAGAAAUCGAGCCGCACGUCCCAUGCGCAUGUCUUUGUGCUUGCCAUUUUUCUUUAAAAGCAAAGUGAUUUCUUUACUUUUACUCAGUCUUUUUAUUUUGGCCCAUGGCAAUUUAGGAUAAACUUUUCAAGUCCCAGUUUAUAUGCGAUGGGGAAAGACGAUAUCCAGUUCAUUCCUGCUCCCAAGGCGGAGCUCUUCAGAUGGUGGGGUCAAUUAGAUCAGUUUGCCCAAGAGCGUGUGAAGGCCAAAGUCGGUCAUCUCCUAUUGUUGAUCCAAAUCACUGUUCGCCCUGAAGUCAUACAAGCCAUGGCACAUUUCUGGUGCCCGAAGACAGUUACUUUUAUAUUCGGUAGGUUUGAGCUAACCCCAACCCUGGAAGAAUACAGCAUCAUCACUGGAAUACCUCUUGAGAAAAAGCUCGUCAAACCAUCGACAGGCGCCCUCCCGUGGCGCGGGUUGGCGCGACUUAUAGGAGCUGAAAUCCAUGUCAUGAGACAAAUUCUUGAAAGCAACCAUAAUACAUGCCCUCUAGAAUUCAUGAAUGUAUGUUUUCAAAACCAGCCUAUGACCAAAAAAGGUGAGAUUUUCCUCCUGGCCUUUUUCAGGCUCAUCGUUUUCCCCCAUCAAAGAAAUGCCAUAACUCCCAAGAUGGCAUGGAUAGUUGACCAUAUCUUAAGAGGGGGGAAUUAUGUCAACAUGAUUUUAACUGAAACAUUAUUGUCCUUUAAUCUUUUUAAAGACAACUCGGAGAAAAUCAUGCGAGCCUCUCCUAAAAUUUUACAAGUCUUGUUCUUUUCUCACCUAAGCGAAUUCCGAGACUUCAUGCGAUCGUCUAAAACAAAUGCUUUCGAAAAUCCGUUACAAAAAUUUAUGGUUCUAGGACCAUACAUUCCCAAUCAAAGCUGUUUAAAUUGGGUAAGCUUCCUAAGAGACCCAGCUCCUGAGACAUUCCAAUGGUGUGCUGGUUGGUUCCAUGAAAAGAGAGCUCGCUUUGCUUUCAUACACACCUGCCCAAUUCCAUUGCUCGGCCUCACCGGCGACAUUCCCUAUUACCCGUAUUGAGUAGCACGACAAUAUGGAGCCCUUCAGGAGAUCCCACCGCCUUUCAAAAGGAUGAUCCCUCCAGUUCUUUUCAACACAAGCCGUGACUACACAAUCGAAAUUUCAAUUGCUGAGGAAACCUAGGACAAGUGCCAUCGCAAAAGGAUCGUGGUACCUGAAGGGCUUGAGGGAGAAGAAAAAGCCCACCACGCCUCCAUGUCCUACAUCCACAACCAUCGCAUCCCGACAAAAUGGAAGCCAUCAGUCCCUCACUCAAUCAGCGAGAGCAGCCAGCACGAGCAAGUAGAGCUCAUGGAGAGGGAUUUGGGAAUGGACUGGAUGCACACCUCAGAGCCGACCCAAGAAAGCAAGCGCAAGACUCCCCGUCGCAUAUAAAUUGGCAAUCAUGUGCCCCUUAGUGUUAAUAGUGUGAAAGUUUUGUCCCAUUGUUUAGGGACUUUUGUUUAAUAUCUACUAUUUCAUCUCGUCAUUUCAAUUUCAAGUUUUAAGUGUUAGGGGUUGGCAGUCUACAAAUCCUCUUUUGAUAAAUAAAAAAGCAAUUAGACCAUUGCCAUGGGUCAAUCUUUGUUUACUUCCGUGCUCAUUCAUUGUUUUCACAACGAGCAGGUAAUUAUGAAUCGCCAGCCACCAAUAGCUCGCGAAUGGCCUCAUGCAUUAAGGCCCGAUCAGAAUGAUAUACAAAAUCGCCUCAUUAACAUUGAAGAUGGCAUAGGACAGAUGUCCAUUGUCCUUCAACAACUCUCAAGGCAAAUGAAAUCCACUCAAGCUGAGCCCAACUCUAUAGUUGCCUCAAACACCAUCAUGAUACCCGCAAAUUUGUCAGAAAAUAGCCAGUACCAUAGACAGUUUGAAAGGAUCAUCAAAAAGUUAAGCCAGCUGCAGGAGCAGAAUCCCAAGGACCUGUCCAAUUACGUCGGCAUUGAGAUCCCUGAAAAACUCAAAGCACCUAAAUGCGAAAGGUAUGCUGAUACCUCUCGCCUAGAGACCUACUUGCAGGCCUACUUGGUUCGAAGGAUGAUUCAAUCGUACCAAUUGAGCUUGACUGGCCCUGCCUUGCGAUGGUAUAUUGUCAAGAAGAUUAGUCCCCUUAAAACCUGGAGGGAACUAAUUCAUGUUUUUCACCAAGAAUACGAUAUUGACAUCAACCCUGACAUAGCCUUGCCUUACGAAAAACUGAUGAUCGCGGAGCACAAGGAACCAUUAGUCGCUGAGAUAGGAGAAGAGCAUGUUAAUGAAGCCUUGCAUGAUAAAUGGGCAGCUGAACAACACCCUGUUACUAGAAAAUUUCCCACUAGGAAAAGCAAGGAGCCUUUGUACGAGAUCAAAGACAAAGAGCCUGUUCAAGACCGGGGCACGACUGGACGACUCCCCAAGCUCACUCCAAGAGCUAGGGUCCAAAGAAUACCAACCCCUAUUAACUUGGGAAGUGAAUCAGAUAGUGAAACUCCAAUGUCUCUCACUUCCUUUGACAGAAUCGAGCUGGCAAAACGAAGGGCCUUACUCAAAAGGUCUGGACCAGAAGCCAAGAAAAGAAAGCCUAAACAAAUCAACGCAGCGUCUGUCGACGAGCCACCACACCCAAGCUUCGAGCAUUCCCAAGAAUACAGCUUUGAAGACUUCCUGGCCCUAGAAUACAAUCCUAAGGACUUCCAGCAUUAUUUCGACAAUGAAACUGACGAUUCAUCGUAUAACUAUUUCCUACUCUCAUCCGGGGAUGAAAGUCCGUCAGAAGAGGAAGCAUAUGUCUUUAUCCGCUACGAUCCUAACGAAGUACUAAGCUCGUCACCUGACCAUGAGGAUAGCUUAAAUGCCUCAUCCUCCUUCGAUAAUUUUGACCCGGAAGAAAGCAAUGGGGUAAUCUCGAUAGAGUCCAGCUUCCCUGAAAUAGAAAAAUUCACCACCACAAUAGAUAUGCAGUGGGAAAACGAUUGGCCUAACCAAGAUACAUCAAGCCCGUCUUGCCCUCGUAGGAUCAUGAGCCCCAUAGAAAUGUGGAUACCCAAUCUCCGCAAGUAUAACGGCACAUCUUGUCCCGUGGCCCACUUGCAGUAUCUCCAUGCGGAAAUGAGUCGGUACUAUGGUCCGAUGUCGUUCACAACUCAGGCAUUCCAAGAAACUCUUACGGGGUCUGCAUUGCAAUGGUUUAUCACAGCAAAUAUUUAUCUUCUAAAGGAUUGGAAUGAGCUGACUUCCACAUUCUUGCAUCAGUACCAAAGCCAGAUCGAAACUGAACUACCUUGUGAGAGCUUGGCUCACUUCACAAAAAAAAACAAUGGAAGAUUUCCGAGCAUACGCAGGAAGGUGGAGGGCUUUCAUGAUGCAAACCCACCCUCAACUGGCUGAAGAGGAGUUAAUGAAGCAGUUCAUAGAAGUUUUGUCCUGCAAGCAGCGCUGUUGGCUGCAUGGGUUACACUUCCGUAACUUCAACGAGGUAGUCAUCGCAUGCGAAUACUUCGAGUCUACUGAAGGCGAGGAAUUCAAAGACGCUUAGCUUCAAGACCAGCACUAUCAAAGCGCUCCUUCACAUAAGGGUUUUCAUGAGUUUUACUUGUCUUUAUAAUUUCAUGUUUCUCAUUUUGUCUGGUGUGCUAUUGUUGUAUUUUCCAUUCAAGUAUUCUAAUGUACAAUUAUAAUAUUUUGUUUUAAGAGCAUGAGACGGUACUCCAAACCUGCCCGGUGAUGCUAUCCAACCAUGAAAAAAUAUAUAUCAUCCAGGGAGAAUACUGAGGGCUGGGCUUCCUCAUGCUUUUUCUCCCCCGAAUACAUAUUUUGAAAACAAAAAACACUUCAUCACCAAAAUAUUUCAAAAAAGAUGAUAAAUUUAAUCAUGUUUGUCUUUCUGACUCACUCACUUCAUGUCUCAGAAGAUCAUUCUCGUCCCCUUUGACUUAGUGUGACAGGGGGUAUUUGAAGCAAGCACAUUAUGUGAACUCACCGAAUUCAAUGACACCCUCCCAAGAAAGCAGGGGCAAACAGAAAUGAUCAUCACGUUUCAAAAUGGUAAGUCCUAUUCCCUGAACAUAAUGUUGAAAAUGACAUCCUCUCUCUUCCAUCUACAGGAAACGAAGGAUGGGAUGUAAUAGGCACAUGCAUAUUAUCAAACUUGAAGCAUGCAUAGCAUGAUAGCUCAAGGCAGGAUGUCCCGAGUUCAUUGACAGGACUUCCAGCUUCAACGAGCCAAGAAGCACAAAGAAGGAUUUGCUUCUCUUCCUUUAAAGUGAUUACUGUCAACAGGGAGAAAAUCUAGACAGUCAAAGCGAUCUAUAGCCCUACACCCUGGACAAUGAUGUUGGAAUCUAGAAACUUCACUCCAGACGCGUAUUCUUCCGAGGAGUAAUUGCCAUAAAAAAGCUUGAGACUUUUGAUCUCAGAUUCCAUAGAAGCUUGAGGUACAUGACUUUUGCCCAAUGAUGCUAUAGUUAAAGACAAAGAGAAAUUCCACAAAAGGAAGGCGUUGAAGAUGAAUCGACGACCAGCAAUCACACAUACAUGGUCACAAGUGAGGAAGGCCAAUCGAAAGAAAUGUCAAACUAUGUCAAGACGAAAAGGCUGUCAUCGACAUUCAAAUAUCCAGACUUUGGAGAAGAGUAAUUUGGUAUCGUUUCCAAUUCUCCUCCCAAUAUCUGAACUCACUUUUGACAUAUUUUCCCUAUUGACAUGAAGCAUUGGGAUUCAAGAACCAAACUUGAUGGUUAGGUUAGGCAAAACAAUAUUGGCCAAGCUAGUACAUGGAAAUGACCCACAUCAAAUUCACCUAGCUUCGUGUAAAAAGACAUGUCAUCCAGGAGCCAAUUCAGAGAAUAAUUGACCUAAUGAAGCAAGGGACAUAGGACUUCGUGUCCCCCUCUCACUUUAGGUUCACCCAAUCAUCUGCAAACCAGUGAAGGGUAAAGUUGUAUCACUUCCAGUUAUUCGACUCUUGAAAGAAUUCAUGACUAACACAUUCCCUCUUGUUUGUUGCAGGAUCACUUGACUGUCAAAAGCAAGGAUAACAAAUCAAUGAGAGGCAUGACAAACUCUCCUAAAUGAAAUGACGUCCUGAGUAAUCGCCAAAGCAAAUGACAGAAAAUCUCCAGGCCUCAACUCACAUUUGAUUUUGGCCAGACUAAUUGAUCUACUUGUACAUCUCCUCCUCUACAGGGGCAAAAGCAGAGAUGCCCGAUCAAAUUCCCAAUCCUUGGCUGAUCCUUCAUGUGUCAUAUCCCUAAUCAAUAGGGAUGACUAUCGACACCCAUUUGCGAAUAACCCUUUUGGUGUUCAAAAUUUAACAUAUUUGGAAACACCAUCAUGUUAACUCCUAAAGUUGUCAAUAGCGUCUUUUUUUAGUCAAAACCAUUCACUUGUUUUGAAAAGUUCAAACUCCAUCAUAUUCAAAAUGUUGCAUGUCAUUUCCAGAUGAAUUUUGCAUGAUGAUUUUGUCUGUCUAAGUCACUGAUUCCACUGAGGAUUAUUAGAAUAGACAGCUAAGUGAAGAAUACAAGAUUGAUUGGGCAUGUUGGAUGAGGCGCGUCAGAAUGAUGACAGGCAAGCUAUAUCCUACACACAGUCCCCCAUCUAUACACUUGUGAGAUGAGUGCAGAAGAUUCCAUGGCUGCAGGGUAAAGAGUUCUCUCGCGAAUGGUACGAUAACCAAAAUAGUGAGAGGCAUUCCAUCGCUCACCCCACUGAGCCCCAUACACUGAUGAAAUUUCUCUCAUAUCCCCGUCGAAGAACCACCACACACUGGGGCAAGUCGAAAACAAGUCAGCAUCACAAGGUGAGAAAGGGGAUAGAAAUUUUCUUGCUUGCACUUGCAUCAAUCUUCGAGUGUCUUUAUUGCAUAUGAACACUCGCGUUAAUUUAAGUGCCCUAGAGUCAUGAAGAGCAAUUCUUUCUUUACGCACUAUAUUCAUUGUACAACCCAAGUGAGUCUGUAAUUUUACCUUCACAUCAAGACAAUGCAGAAGUUAUUAUAGCCUGAGCGCCAGUUGAAGAUGAAGACUCAAGAGUCUAAUAACGAUGCUUCGAUUAAGCUUGCCAAGAUCAGCUCUCAAGCAACAAGAAUGAAAAAAGCAGGGGCAUAAAAAAGCAGUGUACCUGGUAAAAGCAAGGUCAAUGCCCAUAUUUGAAGAACUGGAAUAAAAAAUAAGGGCAUGAAAAAAGCAGCGUGCCUAGUAAAAGCAAGGCCAAUGCCCCCCAGUCAAAAAUACAGCCAAGAAAAAGUUGUUGUGGUCCAUAGAACCUCCAUAUGACAAGAAAGACUAGUGACAAAUGCCGAGACAGUCACCAACUCUCACCCUCUUACAUGUGAAUCAAGCCUACAUUACAUCCCAUUGUAAAAGCCUCUUCAGACUAGGGGCACUUCAAUUAACGUAGGAUUUCAUAUGUCUAUAAGCAUCGCUCGAAGAAGUGCGAGCAAGACUAUUCUAUCUCUUUUCGCAGGACUCUUGACUUGCAAACCUAGAUAUGAUCGUGCGGCACUUCAUUCAUAAGCCUUGACCUCGACGGUCCCAUUUGAUGAGCCACUGACCAAGACUUCAUCACAGUUUCAAUAAAGACCCCUCACAUUGGUAAAGUCAUACUGUUUGCGAGAAUACUCAGACCCCUAUUGACAUGAUGAUAGUAAGAAGAGUGGUCCUUAUAAAUCCUGCAUCAAUGGUCAGGAUAGCCUUUUCCAUGAAAGUGAGCGAAAAGUCCUUUUAGACUGAAAGUCCCUCAUCUGGCAUGCUCAAGACAUCUACAUUCCAAAUGAAGGUUGUCUUUCAAAAUCUCCCCCGGUGGAAAUCAAAUGAUGCAAAACUGACAAAAUUAUCAUGCAUGAAUCUCAUUUGAACUUAUGAAUUUAUAGCAUAUACAAUCAUAUGUGCAUAUUGUGCGAAUAGCAGACAUACUCUCAGAGAGCCGAGAUAUUGCCAGGUAAGCAUAUCCCUAUCCACAUUUGUCUUAAGGUACCUAUCACUGUCUAGGUACUCUCUUCUUGACACUCGACCUAUUCGAAUUGUCUCUUGAGUUUCGAUGCUUGCAACUGUCUUAGCAUCCCAUUGUCUUUGAGUACCGGCCACCGUCCGAAUACUCCUUUUUCCUGACACUCGACCUAUUCGAGUUAUCCUCAGAGUAUUGAUACUUGUGACUAACCAAGUAUUUCUUUAUUGUUGAAUACCUACUGCUGUCUAGGUAUCCCUGUUGUUUUUUAGUACCGGUCACCGUUCGGAUGUUCCCUUUUCCUGACACUAGAUAUGUUCAAGUUGUCCCCAGAGUAUUGAUACUUGUGACUGACCAAAUAUCUCUUGGAAUACCUAUUGCUGUCUAGGUAUUCCCAUAUCGUCAAGUACCCACCGUUGUCCAGGUACAUCAUUUUCAUGAUACUUAACCUGUCUGAGUUGUCCCCAAAUGAUAUAGUAGCUGUUCAAGCACUCCACUACGUUGUGCACCUGCGGUUACCCAGGUAUGCUCUCUUAUCAUCAUGAUACUUGGACCAACCUGAGUGGUCCCAGAUCAUAUCACUAAAUACUUGUGUUUAUCCAAGUAUUUUAGUACUUUGUACACCUGUGGCUACCCAAGUGUUCUAGCCCUUUUGAGUGCUUGUGGCCAUUCAGGUAAGCCUCGUACCCCAUUCCCAUUUACCAGAAGGUGAGAGACCUUCAUGAAUAUGCGAGGCACACCCUUGAUAUUCCCAAUUACCAGGAGGUGAGAGACCUUCAUGAAUAUCCCAGGUACGUCCUCGAUAUUUCCAUUUACCAGGAGGUGAGAGACCUUCAUGAAUAUGCGAGGCACGUCCUCAAUAUUCCCAAUUACCAAGAGGUGAGAGACCUUCAUGAAUAUCCCAGGUACGUCCUCGAUAUUCCCAUUUACCAGGAGGUGAGAGACCUUCAUGAAUACGCGAGGUACGCCCUCGAUAUUCCCAUUUACCAGGAGGUGAGAGACCUUCAUGAAUAUCCAAGGUACGUCCUUGAUAUUCCCAAUUACUAGGAGGUGAGAGACCUUCACGAAUAUCCCAGGCACGCCCUCAAUAUUCCCAACUACCAGGAGGUGAGAGACCUUCACGAAUAUCCCAGGUACGUCCUCGAUAUUCCCAUUUACCAGGAGGUGAGAGAUUUUCAUGAAUAUGCGAGGCACGCCCUCGAUAUUCCCAAUUACCAGGAGGUGAGAGACCUUCACGAAUAUCCCAGGUAUGUCCUCGAUAUUCCCAUUUACCAGGAGGUGAGAGAUUUUCAUGAAUAUGCGAGGCACGCCCUCGAUAUUCCCAAUUACCAGGAGGUGAGAGACCUUCACGAAUAUCCCAGGUACAUCCUUGAUAUUCCCCUUUACCUGGAGGUGAGAGACCUUCAUGAAUAUCACAGGUACGUCCUCGAUAUUCCCAAUUACCAGGAGGUGAGAGACUUUCAUGAAUAUGCGAGGCACGCCCUCGAUAUUCCCAAUUACUAGGAGGUGAGAGACCUUCACGAAUAUUCCAGGUACAUCCUUGAUAUUCCCCUUUACCAGGAGGUGAGAGACCUUCAUGAAUAUCCCAGGUACGUCCUCGAUAUUCCCAAUUACCAGGAGGUAAGAGACCUUCACGAAUAUGCGGGGCACACCCUCGAUAUUCCCAAUUACCAGGAGGUGAGAGACAUUCACGAAUAUCCCAGGCACGCCCUCGAUAUUCCCAACUACCAGGAGGUGAGAGACCUUCAUGAAUAUGCGAGGCACGUCCUCAAUAUUCCCAAUUACCAGGAGGUGAGAGACCUUCAUGAAUAUCCAAGGUACGUCCACGAUAUUCCCCUCUACCAGGAGGUGAGAGACCUUCACGAAUAUCCCAGGUACGCCCUCGAUAUUCUCAUUUACCAGGAGGUGAGAGACCUUCACGAAUAUCCCAAGUACGUCCUCGAUAUUCCCCUUUACCAGGAGGUGAGAGACCUUCACGUAUAUGCAAGACCCAUCCUCAAUAUUUCCACACGAUUCCCCUCUACCCAGGAGGUGAGAGACCUCACGAAUAUCCCAGGUACGCCCUCGAUAUUCUCAUUUACCAGGAGGUGAGAGACCUUCACGAAUAUCCCAAGUACGUCCUCGAUAUUCCCCUUUACCAGGAGGUGAGAGACCUUCACGUAUAUGCAAGACCCAUCCUCAAUAUUUCCACACGAAUAUCUCAGGUAUGCCUUGAUUCUUCCUUAAGAGUUUGUACUUGUGAUCGUCCAGGUACCCCUUCGAUACUUGUAAUCAUCCAGGUAUCUCCAAAGAGUUUGUACCUGUGAUCGUCCAGGUACCCCUCCGAUGCUUGUGAUUAUCCAGGUAUCCUCCAAGAGUUUGUACUUGUGAUCAUCCAAGUACUAUCUCCCAACAAAUGAGAUGCCCUAAGAAAGGUCGGUGCAUCUCCCGUCAAGGCGACCGAAGAAAGGUUCGGGUCCUAGACAAACCAUUGAUUGUUUUGAUAGGCGACCGAAGAAUGGUUCGGGUCCUGGAGAAGCAUCUCCCGUCAAGGCGACCGAAGAAAGGUUCGGGUCCUAGACAAACCAUCGAUUGUUUUAACAGGCGAUCGAAGAAUGGUUCGGGUCCUGGAGAAGCAAUUUCCCGUCACGGCGACCGAAGAAUGGUUUGGGUCCGAGACAAACCACUGAUUACUCCAAUAAGCGACCGAAGAAUGGUUCGGGUCCUGGAGGAGCAAUCUCCUGUCAAGGCGACCGAAGAAAGGUUCGGGUCCUAGACAAACCACUGAUUGUUUUAACAGGCGACCGAAGAAUGGUUCGAGUCCUGGAAAAGCAAUUUCCCGUCACGGCGACCGAAGAAUGGUUCGGGUCCGAGACAAACCACUGAUUGUUUUAACAGGCGACCGAAGAAUGGUUCGGGUCCUGGAGAAGCAAUUUCCCGUCACGGCGACCGAAGAAUGGUUCGGGUCCGAGACAAACCACUGAUUGUUUUAACAGGCGACCGAAGAAUGGUUCGGGUCCUGGAGAAGCAAUUUCCCAUCAAGGCGACCGAAGAAUGGUUCGGGUCCUGGAGAAGCAAUUUCCCAUCAAGGCGACCGAAGAAUGGUUCGGGUCCUAGAGGAGCAAUCUCCCGUCAAGGCGACCGAAGAAAGGUUCGGGUCCUAGACAAACCACUAAUUGUUUUAACAGGCGACCGAAGAAUGGUUCGAGUCCUGGAGAAGCAAUUUCCCGUCAAGGCGACCGAAGAAAGGUUCGGAUCCUAGACAAAUCAUUGAUUGUUUUAACAGGCGACCGAAGAAUGGUUCGAGCCCUGGAAAAGCAACCUCUUCAUAUCACCAGGUAAGAUGACGCCUUGAUACUUGCCAAACUCAGGGUUCACACCCUAUCUCACUCACUCCCGGUAAGUAACUACAGGUAUCUUCUUAUCUGUCUUAGUAUAUGUAAUGUUAUAGUGCUCUUUUUGCAUACGAUAAUAGGUCUUAAGUAAAAUAUAAUCCGUUAUGCAUGUAUGGAUAAAAUUUAGGCAUCAGUUUGUCUUUGAAUGCAACCUCUGCGAGCUCACCUUCAAAGAGGGGAAGCUGUUGACGCCUAAAAUUAGUUAGGUUUUAUUUAGCUUCAUUUAACUUUAUUUUAUUUUAUUUUAUCUUUUUCGGAUAAUAAAUAAGCAAAUAACGAAAAAAAAACAGAAAAACAGAAAAAGCAGCCUCCGCAUGGGCCUUCGGCCCAUCUCCGCCUCGGCCCAGCCCGACCGAGUCUUCUUCCUCCCUGCGCCACUGCAAUGCAUGCGCGGGCAGGCGCGACGCCGGAGGGAGAUGGAUGGACGGCAGCGCACGUGAAGCAGAGGAGCAGUUGGCGUCGACGGGACGUGACCGGAGCGGGAGAUGAUGGCAGAUGGGACGCCGGUUCGGCUGACGGAGGUCAUUCGGCGCGCAGGAACCGGCGGUCGAAGCUUCGUCGACCGACCGCCCCCCUCGCCUAUAAAUAGGGCUCCCCCGACGACGGUAAUGAGGACGCCAAGAAGGAUCGAAGGCUGCAAAUCCUCGAAACCUCCCACUGAGAGACUUCAGACGGGGGGCCAAGGACGAGCAGGCCGAGAUCCGAGAACUCGCGGCCGGAGACGAGGGGGAGAGAUCCGAGUGGGUGGAGGUUGAGCACAGAGAUCCCGGAGAGAGAGAGACGGAGCCAGAUCGAGUCACAGCCCUUGGACACCCCACUAAGAGACUUCAGGGGGGCUGAGGGUUCGCGGCCUCAGAUCUGAGCCUCGCCGGAGGGGGAAAGUAGAGAGAGAAGCGCAUGAGGGGAAGGGAUUUGCGUGGGUCUCACCGUCACGGUCUUCGCUCUUGUCGCGCCGUCGCCGAGCAGGUAUCGUGCCGUCACCGUCACCGUCGCCAUCACCCCCCUGUAGUCCAAUCAUCGUCGUCGUCUGCAUCGCUGCCGUCGUCGCCGUCGCCGUCGCCGCCGCCGCCGCUGCACCUCAGCCUUCCCCUCUUCGGCGCCGCGAAUUGAGAACCCUAGGGUUCGCAUUUUUUUCGGGUCGCAGCCUCGGGUCAUCGGAUCGGACCCGGGCUGCGAACAGGGUAGGGUUUAAAGUGGCGGCUGCGAGUCGGGUUGGAAGUCGGGUCAGACCCGGGUAGGGUUUCGCUAGGAAUCUCGGGUCGUCGGGCCGGGCCGGGCGUCCCCAAACGCCCGGCCAUAGCGUCAUUUUAAUAUUUAAAAAAAAAAAAGAUGAAAAAAUCCGAGUCGGGCCAGCAACGCGGGCCCGUCCGCGUUUGGGUCGCCGGCCCGGGUCGGACCCAACCCGCGGAUCCGACCCGAGUUGGUUUUAUUUUGUUUUAUAAUUUUAAUAUAAAAUAAUAUUCUAAUAAAUAAUAAAUAAAUAAUUGAUUUAAAAAAAAUCAAAAAUGUUUUAAUUUCCAGAAAAUCAAAAAAUAUUUAAAAAUGUUGAAAAAUGUUUUAUUUUCUAAAAAAUCGAAAAAAAUCAAAAAUAAUUUAUUUUCCGAAAAUAUUUUGAAAAAUAUUAAAAAAUAUUUUAUUUUCCGAAAAAUAAAAAAAAAAUCAAAAAAAUUUCAUAUUUUCCAAAAUAUGCCAAAAAUCCAAAAAAAGCCAAAAAUUCAUGAAAAAGCCAAAAAAAUUCAGAAAAAACUAAAAAGACUUGUAUUUUUCCAAAAAAUACCAAACAAUCCGAAAAAAAUCUCUUUUGUGUCCAAAAAUUAGAAAAUGACUCAAAAAAUGUUUUUCCUCCCAAAAAUGCAUGGAAAAUCCCUCGAACAUCCAAAAAACCUUAGGGUUUAAACAAGAUUAGAUACCGAAAGGGCAUUAGUGAUUAACUAGUGUAAUCAAGUCCCCGAUCCUAAUUUCUCUGGUUGCGCAGGAGUGAGUAUUUCUCCCGAUACUUCACUUGGGUUUCUAAUCAACCCACCCCAAAUCGAUUAGUGGCGACUCCAAUUUAAAAAUUAAUUUACAGGUUAAAACUCAGACCAUUAAGUUGUGAAUUGGUGGACUUGGGAGAGUCCGGGCUUAAUAAAUUCAGCCGAACCAUUAGCCUCUUUAGGCGCUCGUACCCGAUUGCGGGCGCCGAAAAAAAAGAGGUCGCGACAAGCUGCAGAAGGAAAAGAAAGAAGCGUGCAGCAAAAGGGAAAAGUCCAUAGCAACGUGGGAAAGAGGAAAAGAAAUAAGAAAAAAAAAAACGCAGCAAGCAGGUCUUCUUCCUUGCGCGGGCAUCCUUCGCCCCCUUUGCCAGCCCCCAUCCGCAAGCACUGCACCAGCACCACCCACGCCGGUAGCCGAACCGCCAACUAUCGCUGCUCUUCCGGUGACCUAUGAGCCAUCUCUACUCCCCCACUGCUGCCACUCAUCCUCCGUUGACGUUUUGCCUGCCGUGUCUCCGCCCGUCCGCAUCGCACUUGCUGCCCAUCCCUCGCUGGUCACCGCCACAACGCCAACAACCUGCGAUCUCGGCCACCAAAACCGUCGUCCCCUGCAUCGGCCACCACGCUCGCAUUUCCGCCGGCCGCCCCUAUCGUCGCUCGUCCGCUCCACUUCUCUCUGUCUGAUCACCCUCCCGUCGCCACUCUCCAGGUUUCACCCGAGCCCUAGCAGCAUCGCCGCUGCGCCACUACCGACGCUCUGACGCCGCUACCUCUACCUGCACCAAAGCCCAACGCCCCUAUCGUUGCGCCUGCCAUCCGCCUUGCUUGUAGCUUUGCCAGAGCCACCUCUGUCAGUCAUCGCCCUAGCAACCUACAGCCACCUACGAAGCCGCGCCGCCUCUGCUCCGCCUGCCAAAGCCCUUUGCUUAGAUGCCUCCUCCUGCCCGCUCGCCUCCUGGGACCCAGCGCCCAACGCCCUGAAGCAUCACCAAGAGCCCGAUGCCACCGUUGCUGCUUCCUUCCUACAGUCGCUUGCCCGCAACAGCUGCCGGACCCCCCUGGCCUCCGCCUACGUAUCCGCUCAUAGCCCGACGCCAUCGCGCCUCCGUGACUCGCGACGCCUCUGCCCCCGAGCACCGGCAGCGCCUCCGCCCAACGUAACCCGCUGCCUCCCUUCGCCGUUUCUGACCACCUGAAGCUUCCGUGACCUGCAGCCACUGCACGUUUACGCCUGCUCAACCCAGCCCCAACGCCUUCACCGGUGGUCCACCUUCCCUCAGCCCUCCACCUGAGAGCCCACGUCACAGCUGCUCCACUAGCAGCACCAACGCGGGGAAGCGUUGAGUCCUUAGGUGGUUUAUUUUUAUUAUUUUAUUUCAUUUCAUUUUACUUUAUUUAUUUUAAGUUUCGUUAUUAUUGGAGCAUGGUGUGUUGAUAUUAUUUGAAUAUUGUAGGCAUUAUUCGCAGGGUUUUGCCUAGAAUUAUUGUAAUUAUUAAUUUAAUCCGUAAGAUAUCAGAUCAUUUUUUUUAAUUAUAUUAUUCUUUUGGGCAUACAAACAUUGCAAUCCAAUCCUAUUGUUCGGCCUCACCAGCAUCACUCCCUAUUAUCCAUAUAGGGUAGCACAUCAGUACAGAGCCCUUCAGGAGAUCCCUCUACCUUACAAGAUGAAGAUCUCUCCACUCUUUUGCACCCAUAAAAGCGGUGAUUAUGCAUUCGAGAUUCGCAAUAUCGAGGAUACAUAGAGCAAGUGCCAUCGCAAAAGGAUGGUGUUGCCUAAAAGGCGUGAGGGACAGAUAAAGGCCUAUCAUGCCUUUGGUCCAGAGCUAGCCAACAAAAUCAGCCAGCAAAAUCAGUCAAUAUGAGCAAAUUGAGCAUAUGCAAAGGGGCUUGGGAAUAAUGUGGGUACAUGUCUUAGAGCCAGUCCAAGAAAGCAAACAGCUUCGCAAGACCAAGGCUUCUCGUCACAUAUGAAAUAGCAGUCAUGUACCCCAUAAUGUCAAUAUUUUGAAAGUUUUGUCUUGCUCUUAGUCCCAUUGUUUAUGGACUUCUCUUUAAUGUUUAGUAUUUCAUUCUGUAUUCUUAAUUCCAAGUAUAGAUGUCAGAAAUAUGCAAUCUACGAAAUCCUCUUUUGAUAAAUAAAAAUAGUUGGAUUGUUGUCAUGGGUCAAUCUCUAUUUACUCUUGUACUCAUUCAUUUUUUAUUUUAUUUUUUUGCGAUGUUAGGUAAUUAUGAAUCACCGACCACCAAUCACUCACAAAUGGCCUUAAGCAAUAGUGGCUAAUCAGAGUGAUGUACAAAAUCGACUUGCUAAUAUUGAAGAUGGCAUAGGACAGAUGUCCAUUGUCCUUCAAUAACUCUCGAAGCAAAUGAAGUCCACUCAGGCCAAGCCCAACCCCAUAACUGCUCUAAAUACACUCGUGACACCUGUGAAUUUGCCAAAAGAUGACCAAUAGGACAGGCACUUUGCAAGGAUCAUGAAGAAGCUGAGCUAGUUGCAAGGUCAAGAUCCCAUUGAUCUAUCUAAUUAUGCCAGUGUUAAAAUUCCAGAAGAGCUCAAAGUGCUUGAAUGUGAGGGGUACGCUAAUACCUCUUACCCAAAGGCCUAUUUGUAGGCCUACCUAAUCCGAAGGAUGAAUCAAUCGUACCAAUCAAAUAUAAUCGGCCUCGCCUUAUGGUGGUAUAUUGUAAGGAGGAUUUAGGGGGGAAUUGACCAAUGCUUUCUACCAAGAAUAUAACGUUGACAUCGACAUCGACAUCAACAUCAUCUAGCCUCAUGAAAAGCCGAUAGUCACGGAGACGAAGGAUAACAAGCUCUUCAGGAUACAUGCCACAUCAGGGAAGAGCCCCACCACCCAGUUUGACCCGCAACCAAUAGAAGAAUGAUCGAUUGGAGAAAAUACUGAUGUAGCCUUACAUAAUAAAGGGACUACCAAGUAGUAUCAUAUUACUGAUGAGUUUCCCAAUAAAAAAGAUAAGGAGCCCACGGAUGAGGUUAACACUAUAAAACCUAUUCAGAAUCGAAGCACGGUAGUGCAGCUUCCCAAGCUUACCGCAAAAGCUAGGGUCUAAAGAAUGCCGACCUCCAUCAACCUAAGAAGUAAAACUCCACCAUCUCCCAAUCCCCUUGACACACUCAAGUUGGCAAAACGAAGGGCUUUACUCAAAAGGUCAGGACCAGGAGUUAAGAAAAGAAAGCCUAAGCAAUCCAAGCCAACGCUCACCAUCGAACGUAGGCAAAGUCUCAAUCAAUGAGCUACCACGCCAAGGCUCUGAACAUCGCCCAUGGUAUAGUCUUGAGAGCUAUCAGUAUCAUUUAGAUGAGGUUAGCCAUUCAUCAAAUGAUUGCCUCCCACCUACGCAUAGGAUCCAAAGCUUGUUAGAAGGGGGGAACAUUUGCUCUUCAAAGCUUAUCUCCCAAUAGGCUGCUAAAUUUGUCAUCCAAUCAUGAGAAAGACAUAAAUGCCUCAUCCUCGAUUGGAAAUUUCGACGUAGAAGAAAGUAAUGAAAUGAUCUCGAAAAAGUCUAACCUUCUUGAACUAGCAAAAUUCAUCACCAUAAUUAAUGGAAUGUCGAUGCAAUGGAAGGAUCAGUCACCUAACCAAGACAUGGCAGGUCCAUCUUGCCUGCACAGGAUUACGAUUCCCAGAGAAAUGAGAAUACCUAAUCCCCAUAAAUAUAAUGGCACAACUUGUCCUAUGACCCACUUGCAAUAUUUCUAGGCUAAAAUGAUUCGACACUACAACUGGACGCCAUUCAUAACUCAAGCAUUCCAAGAAAGUCUUAUGGGGCCUGCAUUGCAAUGGUUCUUCAUGGCAAGGAUCUACCUCAUGAGGAAUUGGAAUGAGCUGUCAUUUGCAUUCCCGCAUCAAUACCAACUGAAUCGCCCGGUGAGGAUUUGGUUCGCAUCUAGAGAAGACCAAUUGAGGAUUUCCGAGCAUAUGCAGAAAGGUGAGAGGGUUUCGUGAUGCAAACUAACCCUCAACUGGCCGAGGAAGAAAUGAUGAAGCUAUUCAUAAAAGCCUUACCUCACAAGCAUCGCUUUUGGUUGCAUGGAUUGCGCUUUUAUAACUUCAAUUAAGUGGUCCUCUCAUGUGAAUACUUUGAAUUUAUUGGGGGGUAAAGAACUUAGAGACACUGAUGCCAACACUAUCAACUAUCAAAAUGCUCAAUUUCAUAGAAGUUUUCAUGGGUUUUGGUUGUUUUUAUAGCCUCAUAUUUUAUAUCCUGUCUAAUAUGUUACAGUUGCAUUUUCUAUUCCAAUAAUUUAAUUUGUUUUCACUAAGAAUAUACAAUUCUAAUUCAUUUUCAGAGCAUGAGGUGGUGUUCCAAACCGAUCCGGCGAUGCUAUUCAACCAGGAAAAGAAAAUAUCAUCUAAGGAGAAUUCUGAGGACUGGGCUUCCUCAUGCUUCCUCCCCCUAAAAAGAAAAAAAAAUGAAAAAAAAAAUUCAUUAUAAAAAAAAAUCAAAGCAAGAUGUCAUAUGUAAUCUUGUUUAUUUUUCUGACUUACUUACUUUGUGUCUUAGAACAUCAUCCCCUUUGACUUAGCAUGACCAGGGGCAUUUGAAAAUGGCAUGUCAUGUGGAAUUGUCAGAUUCUAAAAUACUCUUUCAAGAAAAUAUGAGCAAAUAGAAAAGAUCAUCUCGUUUAAAAAAAAAAAUGGUAUGUCUUGUUCCCUGAACAUAAUUUUUGGAAUGAUGCUCUCUCUCUUCUAUUUACAGGAGAUGAAAGAUAGGACUUAAUAGGCAUAGGCACACGGUUGAACUCGAAGCAUACAUAUCGUGGUAGCUUAGGGUAGGUUAACCUGAGAAUCCUCCCCCAUUCCACCUUCAGCCUUUACUAUUUUGUGAGCCGUCCCUAGAACUCUAUACACUCCACCUCACACCUACACAACUCUAUCUCGAGUCUGAGCAAUGUCUUCGUCGCACAGCGUACCCAAGCAACCAAACAUUGUAGUUUCAUUGAUGGGAUGUUCAGCUUCAAUAAGCCAAGAAGCAUAGAGAAGGAACUCAUUCUCUUCAUUUGAAUUUGCUAUUGUCAAUAGGGAGAAAAUCCAGAUAGUUGAGGCGAUCUCUAGUCCUCUAUUCCAAAUGAUGACUUUAACAAGACGUUUCAAAAAAAGCACUUAAGACUUCGCAGUUUAGCUAGAACUAGCCCUUGAAUGCAUGUAGCGGAUGAACGUAAGCAGCAUUCCUAACACUCUGGAACGAGUGAUGCUCUUGGCAUCUGAAAGGAGUCCAGAAGUCUGGAAUUAUCACACCCCUCCCUUCUGUCGAAACAUAGACAUUUACAUCCGAACUAGCAACUAGGGAAGCGAUAGCCACUGUGGCUCCUCUAAAAGUGUAUCGGGUUUGAAGCAUGGAGGGCAACUAUAAUGUCCAUAUAUAAAAUUCAUAAGAAAGAAGCAACGACUAUGGUACAGGUAACUUUACAACUUUGAAUCUAUACGGCUUACUACCCAUAUCGAAGUGUAGCACCUAAAGUUCAUUUCUUGGGAAAUGUCUUCGGCUUUGUCCUCUCGUUGGCUCUUCUUAUGACAUCCCAAGCCUUUUGUGGGGCAUAGACACCUUGUUGUGAAGCAAAAAAUGACUCAUACCCAGGUGAGUCGAAAGCAAGCCCACUGUACUUGGAUGUCUUGCGUGGAAGCAAAGGAAAAGCAAAGCUCCUCUCUGGUUCCACCGUGAGCUGACUACUGUGAAUUUCCUGUACUAUCUGGUAAUCAUACGGGAAGAAACACCUUUGAACCCUGAAACCAGAUGCAGGAAAAAUUAGUGGGGGCGAAAAAAAGAAACUAACCAGAUGAAGUUUGCAUUAAAAUUACUUUAAGAAAACACGCGUUGCUAAUAAACAUAAUCCACAAAAUAGAAUAUGGUUAAUCCAGAAAUCAAUCACUUGAGACAAGCGAGCUGUCAAGUUCCCACAAGCCAAUAAAUACUCAUACCAAUUAAGGUUGAUAUAUGGAUUUAUCCUAUAACUGCAAUCCAGAAAUCGGGCAAUGUUCAGCCCAAAGAGGAGGAACAGGGUUUAGAGGGAGGGAGAGAGGGAGAGAGAGAGAGAGAGAGUCGGGGCAGAUGCAAUUCACAAAUGAUGGAACAUCUGAGGAACCCCAAUAAAUUUAUGAAAAACUGGAAAAGUAUGGACAUGAAAAGCCAUGCAUCUUGUCUUGGAGCAAAUAGGGAUAAAAGGAGCCACAAAAUCGGCAAGGAAGAUGAGGAAGGCUAUUUGAAAGAAAAAGGAGGCCCUCCAUUAUAUUGUCCACGACAAACGUCCUUCGUUACUUUUAGAAAAGCUAAAUUGCAGAUUUGCAAUCAGUCUUCGUUACUUAAGGACUACGGUGUUUCUCCCCGUUUGUAGGCGACAAACAUGCCUAAAAAUAAAAAAGCCUGAGCUUUUUUAAUUUUUUUUGGCCAGAUAAAAGUCUGAAACCUUACCCUUGCCAUAAGAAGUCACCAAGUGGCACGACAAUUGAAACCAGAAGAAACGUUAGGUAGAAGUAGACUGUACUCAUUAUUACAUGGAUGACAUGGUAGAGAUUUUCCUGCGCAUACAUGUAAUAAGACGAAUAUCAGAAUUAUUGCUAUACAGUAUCCAUUAAAGGGCUAGUUUAGCUAAAGGGAAGGAAAGAACCCCCCGAAAGGGAGAAGACUCGCCCUUUUAAGUGAACAUAUGAAAACAAUAACAAACCAAAGAGGGACGCUUAAACAGACAGCGAUGUGUUGCCAUAUUGUAAUUGGAUUACACAUGAAAGGAAGGCGCAAGUUGACAAUGACAAGAACAAAGGUAAUUGCCAUCAUGCUGACGUCCCAGAGGCCGAGCAUUUUUCCUGAUGAAUUUAGGUCAGCAGAAGUAGAAGCUGUCACAAAGUGAUAAAGGAGGAGAGACUAGUAGACUGCAGACAGCCCCGGGCUGCCACAUCUCUCCACCUGAAGUAUGAAUUCCGUAUUCCUCCUUAUACAGUAGUGGAUACUUCUCGAAAGUGACGCACUAACAUCCUGGAAAAACAUGCAAUAACGCUGUCAAGUAUUUGCUCCUCUUGUGAUUUGCGUUGGAGUAUAUUUAUGAAUGUUAGUCGACGAUCAGCAAGUGGUCCCGAAAAAAGAAAUCGGAGCUUUGUUAGUCCCUAAUGAUUUAUACAUGAGCUACUGCCUAGAGACCCACCGAGAGAGAGGGACCCAUAUCAAAACCCCAACUUUAUCUUUUUCUCUUGCCUUCAGUAAAAAAAACCCUCCCUCAUUAAUCAAUAGACCUGUUAAACAAGUAGAUUGAGUUGAGUUUGGUUAAGUCAUAAAUGGUUUGACCCAUAUUGAUCCACUUAAUCUGUUUUGACCCAUUUAUUUACAAUGCAAAUUUCUCGACUCAUGCCCAACCAACUAGACUCAUAUCAAACUCAUCUUGAGAUUCAUUUUUAGCAUUUUUACUCUUCGUAUUGUCACUUUUAAAGAAAACCCAUGAACUGGCUCGUUGAGUUAAUAAGGAAGCUCACGAUCAGGUUAUGAUCUGAUUCAUGUACCACCCACACUACACAAUUUUUUUGCCUUCUCCCUCCUCAUCACACCCCCAACCCCACCACCACCACCGCUUUACCCGCACUCGACAGGCGCCAUCACAACCACCGCCCACCAUCGCAUCAAUUCGAUUUACUUUUAAUUUCACUUGAAGAUUUUUGGAGUUUUUUGCUUAUUUGAUUAAUUAACAAAAAUCUCAAUUUUUUUUGGGAUUAUUUUUUUGCAAUUUUUUUUACAUUUGUAAUUAGAGUAAGCCCAGGUUGUUAAGUGGCAACAGCAACUGGCAACAGCAACUGUUCAGCUAAUAAAAGGCCAGGUGUAACCACUUCAGAAGCAUUACCACAAGACAAAAAGAAAGGACCGACUACUGUAGCUUCUAACCACGGCUUCUCCGACUAAGGGUAUAGAUUUUCCGGCAAGAAGUUCGUCCAUGGUUGACUCGGUGAUGUGUAAAUGGCUACAUAAAAUGAACAAAACGAGGCAACAACAUCAGUAUGAGCAAGCAAUUCAAUGAAAAGGGAUCAAACUCGGACUAAAAUAAAGUCAAAAGCAAAUCACACACAAUCUAUUUCGAAAUCUCACUUAAGCAUUUUAUCGAACACGUGACGUGCAACUUCAACAAUGAUAUUCCAAUUUGAUUUUCCAGCGACUCUCGGCCUAAUCGCGGUAUACAGUGACUUAGAUCAAUGCCACUUGCGGCCAAUCGAUCCCAGCUUAUCAUGAUUUACUUAUUAACUUGCCGAUCGAGUUCGGGCUCUUGAAAGACAGGGCUAAGACAGAGCAUGUUCGGGAAAGAGGAAGCUCACCUUACCUGGGCAAUACUGAGAACGAAGGAUCAAGGUAACUGAGCUCCACAAGGUCGUCGAUUGGGCGAACGGCUUCAGAAAGUAUCUACGUCGCUCGGCCGUGGAGAGAUACGGCGACCGGUGACCAGCGACCGGCGACCAAAAGACUCGAAGCCAUUUCCGGCCAAAUUCAAAGAAACUCCGGCGAAGUACUCUGGAUCGGACGAGUUUCGUGAGUUUUUUUUAUCUCUGUUUCUCACCUUUUUGGGCUCAAAUUGUGGGCUGAAAGAAAAUAAGGAAAAUCGGGAAGUUGGACUGAAAAUUUUACUAAAGAAAACGGGCCUGGUAUAAAUGGCCCACCCAAGCUUUAUUAGUGUUUUUAUUGUUUUUUUCUUUUUAUAUAUAUUAUUAAUUUUUAUCAAAAAAAUUCUCUAUUCUCUUCUAUUUAUCCAUGCCUAGUAACAUAGCCCCCCCUUUUUUUUGUAUUUUUGCUUUCCUUUUUUAUUUAUUACUAUAUAGUUUUUUUGUUGUUGUUUUUACCAUUUUUUUAUUUCUAUGUAAAAAAUAAUAAUGUGUCAACAGUCACAUGUUUCAUCUAAUGGGAAUGAACAUGGUUUAUGGACCAACUUGCUUGGAUUUUGAUUAGUCAAUGAUUUUUGCUCCCCAUUGAAGUCAUCAAAAAAGAAAAUGAACUCUCAAGACAUUAUCUUUUCUAGAUGAUCCUCAAUGGGGACAAUUCAAAUUGUCAAUAAUCAUAGUAUUUUCUCUUUCCUUUUUUUUUUUUUUUACUAUAGUUUUUUUUUUGUCAUUUUUACUUUUUUAUUUUAUUUUUAUGUAACAAAAAUAAGAUGUCAACAGUCACGUGUUUUGUCUAAUGGGAAUGAACCCGGUUCAUAAAUCAACUUGCUUACAUUUUGAUUUGUCAAUGAUUUUUGCUCCCCAUUGAAGUCAUCAAAAAAGAAAAUGAACUCCCAAGACAUUUUCUUUUCUAGAUGAUCCUUGAUGGGACAAUUUAAAUUGUCAACAAUCGCAGUAUUUUCACCUCCCUUUUUUAUAUUUUGUAGUUUUUACCAUUUUUUAAUUUUUAUGUAACAAAAAUAAGGUGUUAAUAUUCGUGUGUUUCGUCUAAUGGGAAUAAAUAAACACAAUUCCAAGACCAACUUGCUUGGAUUUUGAUUAGUCAAUGAUUUUUGUUCCCCAUUGAAGUCAUCGAAAAAGAAAAUGAACUCCCAAGACAUUUUCUUCUCUAGAUGAUCCUCAACGGGGACAAUUCAAAUGGUUAGCAAUCACAAUAUUUUCUCUUUCCUUUUUAUUUUUAUUUUUUAUUACCAUAUAGCUUUUUUUUUUGGUCAUUUUUACCUUUUGUUCUUUUAUUUUUUUCAAGUAACAAAUAUAAGGUGUCAAUAGUUUAGGAAAUAUUAACACUCUCUGAGAGCUUUUGUGUCGUGUCAAAUACUUCAACACGUGUCAAACACUCUCCACCACUUUUGGAUACUGCUGACACAUGUUAGAAAAUCCGAUACUUAGUUAACUUUCCCAAUGCUCUCUAACACUCGAAUUGAAAUUCCGACAUGCAAGUUUUUUACACGUGAUUCUGACAUGCGAGGUCAAUUUUAAAUUUUUUUAAUAAAUGAUAGGUCAAAAUAUAUAUGUAAAAAAAUAAUAAAAAUAAUAAAAAUAAUAAAUUGGAAAAGAAAAAAAAAACUAGUCUUCUCUUCUCUUUUGACUCUCACUUCUUAUGAUACACAAUUCACCACCAAGUUUUUUCUCUCUUUUCUAACAUAACUAACAUGCGAGUCCAGAAUGUGAAUUGCUUGUUUUUUUCAUUUCAAAUUUUAUAGAUUAUUGGAAUGGUGUCAAAAUGAUAUUAAUAAAUAGCAGAUUAAUAUUUUUAGUGUAAAUUGAUUAUAGACUUUUUAAAAUUAUUUAUUUAUUUAUGAAUUUGAAUUAAAUUAAUUUGAUUGAAAUAAUAAUAAAAUGAUAAUUUAUUACAUAUAUAUACAUAUAUAUAUAUAUAUAUAUAUAUUUAUACACAACGUAUCCCAACAUAUCGAAAUUCACUGAUUUUUUAGAAACGAUGUGUUGGUAUGUCAUGUCGUGUCGUGUUGCGUAUUGAUGUUGAUACUACUUAGUCAACAGUCAUGCGUUUCGUCUAAUGAAAAUGAACACGGUUUAUGGACCAACUUGCUUAGAUUUUGACUAGUCAAUAUUUUUUGCUCCUCCAUUUAAGUCGUCAGUUUUCUUUUCUGGAUGGUCGUCAGUGGGACAAUUCAAAUUGUCAGCAAUCACAGUAGAAGACGAUCACAAGAUUUCCACGAAGGGAUAGGACCAAAUUGCAAGAGCCCAUUCUGCCCAGUCUCGGGAUCCACAACUUAGACCCCUCUAAAUUUUUACAUGAACAGCUUCUAUCUUGCACUUUUAUAGUCAAUCUAGCGACAAGAGAGAAAGCGGAGGAGAGAAGGAAAAUGGAGAAGANNNNNNNNNNNNNNNNNNNNNNNNNNNNNNNNNNNNNNNNNNNNNNNNNNNNNNNNNNNNNNNNNNNNNNNNNNNNNNNNNNNNNNNNNNNNNNNNNNNNNNNNNNNNNNNNNNNNNNNNNNNNNNNNNNNNNNNNNNNNNNNNNNNNNNNNNNNNNNNNNNNNNNNNNNNNNNNNNNNNNNNNNNNNNNNNNNNNNNNNNNNNNNNNNNNNNNNNNNNNNNNNNNNNNNNNNNNNNNNNNNNNNNNNNNNNNNNNNNNNNNNNNNNNNNNNNNNNNNNNNNNNNNNNNNNNNNNNNNNNNNNNNNNNNNNNNNNGAGGGGCUUCAGCACAUGAUGAGCACUAGUUCGAACCCUUUCUUUUGAUGUUCUUGAAGAAAACACAUGAAAAAAAAAAUACUUUUUUUGUAAUGUUAAUUUUAGGUCUAACAAAAAGUAUCAAAUCGCAUAAAUCCAAAAAGUUAGGUGACUUCAUUCAAUAAAAGUUUAAGGACCAAAUCAUGUAAAUGCCGAAAUUUUUUGGACUAUAUCUAUUAAAAUAGGAUUGUCUUAAGUACACACUAUGAGAUUUUGUUGAGAUUUGCAUAAAUUCCAAAAUAGGUGAGAGCCUGAACACAAGCUUCUUGAGUCCAUACUUGGAAUCAUUGGGCCCAAAUUUCAGCGACGGUGCCAAUUUCGCUGUGUCCGGCGCAGCCACCACCCCUCGCGACCAGCCCUUCAGCUUGGGCGUCCAACUCCGCCAGUUUCUCCUUUUCCGAUCUCGCUCUCCAUUGCUUCUCUCGAGAGGUAAUCUAUCCUUUGACUAGACAAAUUAACCUCUACAAGAAGGCAAAAUUAAGAUAUCUCGAUCUGGCGUCCCGAAUUUCAGGCCACGCAAAUUUGGUCGGCGAGGAUGGCUUCGCCGACGCUCUUUACACCAUUGACAUCGGCCAAAACGACCUCACAGCUCAGUUCAGAACCCUUCCGUAUUUGCAGGUCAUCGGGAACAUCCCGACCUUCAUCGAAGAAAUCAGAUUCGCCAUAUGGGUCAGUCAACAAUUACCAAAAGAUUAGACAUAAUCCCAUCUAUGUAAAUUUAAUUUAUAUAACUAAUUUUUUGUAGAUUAUAUCUUAUUUUUUGUAGAGCAUAUACCACAGCGGAGGGAAGAAUUUCUGGUUGCACAACACCGGGCCACUGGGCUGUUUGCCUGGCAUAUUGGUCGCCGCCGGCCAUGAUGCGAGCGACAUCGAUGAGCUCGGAUGCCUCCGAUCUCGCAAUGAUGCUGCUCGGGAAUUCAAUCGGCGAUUGCAGUCCCUUUGCGAAGAACUGAGGACUCAGAUGAAGAAUGCUACGAUCGUAUACGUCGAUGUCUUCGCGAUCAAAUACAAUCUCAUCGCCAAUUACACUAUACAUGGUACGGAUUUUAUUGCCUCUGAUCUGAGUCCCCUCAAGUUCUGUUAGGGCCGAUUGUCAAGUUGAAACUCAAGAGUUAGCGAGAGUGUCUUGUUCAUUUGUUUUGUGCCCUAUGAGUGGUUACAAACUUACAAUGAUAGUCGAUUUACUUAAGUUUGUCUGCUUUUGGCAUUGCAAUAUGAGUAGGAUUUGAGAACCCGUCAAAGGCGUGCUACAACAAUGGCACCGUGUGCGAGGAGUCGUCGCGCCACGUGAGCUGGGAUGGCAUCCACUACACUGAGGCAGCGAAUUCCUUCGUGGCCUCUCGAAUACUCUCUGCUAAUUACUCCACCCCUCCUAUUACUUUCAAUUUCUUUUGUAACGUUUAAUUUCACUUGAAGAUUUCUGGAGGUUUUGCUGAUUUUAUGAUUUUUGCUUAUCUGGUUCCCUCCCGUUACAUGAGGGAAAUAAUAAUAAUUUCAUGUGCUCGUGGUCAUUGCUAAUCAAAUCUAGAACAUCUACCAGUGACGGCAAGAAUUUUAGUGCAAGUUUAAUUUAAUGAAAAUGUUUAAUGUUGUCACUAAACUUAAAUUAAUAAAAAGAUAGUAUUAAAUAUCUUUAUACAUUUUAGGGAUUAAAUUGAACAUGUAUAAAAAGUUCUAAGGAUCAUUUUAAAUAAAUUAAAAUUUCAAUGACAAUAUUGCACAUUUAGUUGAAGUUUAAGGACCAUGUUAAACAAACUUAAAGUUCAUGGAUCACAUUGUAUAUUAAGUUAAAAUUUAGAAAUCAAUUAAGUCAUUAUCCUAAUAAAGUCUUAUCAUUGUUUGACUUUAAUUUGUUGGUUAACAUUCACGGACGUUUCCAACUAAAAAUUGCCAAUAAUCACAAGGAAACCUUUUUUUUUUUUUUUUGAACUCCCAUGUCCUGUACUCCGCCGUAAAAGACAAAGAGGCCCACUCCACCAUUUCUUUUGUACUAAAACUGCCUUUGGGCCCGACCGCCUAUGUCCUAGGCCGAGGUGAGUGAUUAUAAAAGCGAAUGCUGCCCUAUAGCAGUUGAGACCCCUUAUUAAUAUAUAUCUGAUUUGAUGUGGACAAUUCAUGAUUUAAUUCAAUUUUGACUAGCUAAGCAAAGCAAUUAUUAACCUUGGUGUUAUGUCAACCUCAUGAUCCAGAUGGCGAUACGUCUUCAUAAAUGUGAAAGCUAAUAUGACGCCUCAGUGAAUUGGUGGGGGACACAACUCCAUUGUAUUGUCCUAUUUUUCAUUCAAACUUCAUACAUAUGAACGUUAAUAUUAACUUCAUCAUAAUAAGUGGGAACAAUAUAAUGAUUAUAUAUCGAGUUGCAAAUUCUUACCAAUUAUUUGACAAAUAAAAGCAUCAUAUAUUCUUUGAAAAAAAAAUAUGAUUACAACUACCUGAUUUGAUUAGAUCACCAAUAACAAAAAAUGGUUUCAAUCGAUGGUAAAACAUACUUACCCUUACAAUCUAAAAUUUAAGUGGCCUGAUACAAUCAAAUAGUCAACAUGCACUAAUAAAGAGUGUGGUGCCACAAUGGAAGAUGUUUUCUAUUGACCACAGGCGUAAAAAAAAUUCUAGGUUAAAAGGUAUAUAUAUUCUAUAUGUAGCUGUGAUAUUCAAAUGCUAUAUCAAAGACGGGUGGCAUAGGAAUAAAUUAUAAGAUAUUACUUAGCGAAAUUAAAUAGAUAAAAAAACCUCAUACCCCUAUAUAAUACAUCUCCAUGCACCGUGCAUGGGAUAAAGACGUCUUGUUUGUCCACUUUGUUUCUCUAUGCAAAUCAUUCACAACUCAUUUCUACUCCUUCUUUCUUAUUAUAGAUUGAUGGGCCUAAGCAAAUGACGAGCUAUAAUGUUAGUGAAAAACAUAGUCAAACUUAACUGAUAGUAUUGGUAGUACUAUUGAGGUGAGUGACUUCAUACACAAGUGAAUAUUUACUUCUAGUAGUUGAGACCCUUCAUUAAUAAGUAUUUGCUUUGAUACCGGUAAUUCACAAUGUAAUUCAAUUUUCAUAAAUGAACAUAGCGAUUAUCAAGAAUUGCAUUAUAUCAACGUCAUGCUCCAAAUGGUAGUUCAACUUCAUAAAUGUGAAAGCUAUCAUGAGGCUUCCGUAUUGUCCUAUGUGUCAUUCAAACUUCUUCUAUAUGAACAUUAAUGUUAACUUCAUCAUGUUAAUGUGGGCACCAUAUAAUGAUUAUAUAUCGACUCCCAAAUUUAUAUAAAUUAUUUUACAAAUAACAGUAACAAAUAUUCGUAAAAAAUCUAGCAACCUAGUAGGUGGGUCGAUCACCCUGAAUAAAAAUUUAUUUUAANNNNNNNNNNNNNNNNNNNNNNNNNNNNNNNNNNNNNNNNNNNNNNNNNNNNNNNNNNNNNNNNNNNNNNNNNNNNNNNNNNNNNNNNNNNNNNNNNNNNNNNNNNNUCUUCCAUUGACUCCGGACCUAAUAAAAAUUCUAAUUUAAGAGGUAUAUAUUCAAAAUGAAGUUGCGACAUUCAAUUUGCUAUACCAAAAAAUCUAAUUUAAAUUUUGAAUAUUUGAAUUUUGAGGACACAAGAUAAAAAAGUUCCCGAUUCAUCAUGCAAUACUUAAGCGGAAUCACUUGCAAAUUUGAAUCCAUUAAGUUAUUAAUAACCCAAGUGAGUUUUUAAUGCGUGCAUUUACUUAGAAGAUGAUGUGUAAGAUAAAAGAGUGGAGUCUAUGACACCUAAAGAUUAAUUAAAGUAUUGCAAGUUCUACCACAACCGCAUCACAUACUAUAGUUGUUACAAUUUGGUCUCUAUCUUGGUCGAUCUCGACGCAUUGAGCAACACAUCUCUAGAGAUCUACAACCUUCGGUUUCCAAGCAUGAAGUUACUGAGGCCUUACAUGGCUCUUAGCUUAGGACAACCCUUUAGUUCGACACACCUUCGAUUCUUCAACUUGCGUGGCUUUGGCUUGUGUAAUCUUUCAAUUGAAUCACAGUUUGUUUUUCCUUUUUUGUCUUUUUCCCAAUUUUGUCCUUUUCCCCUGCACCUUCUUCUGCUCCCUCAUAUCACGCUCUCUUCUUUCUCGAACGUUUUCUCUUUCCUCGCAACAACCCGUAUUUCCUCUGUACAGAACCACCAUUGACGAACUCGAUUGAACUACACUACACACGUUCACGCCGGAAUCCCUAUCGGUCCGACGUCAAUACCUGACGUCCAAAUGUUCCCUCAUCAGCCACGACUCCGGCCAAGACCGAGCCACUCAGGCAAGGAAAUAUGAGCUCCAAAAUCGCACAAAACAGUAUAAGAAUUACACAGGAAGCAUACUAAAACAGCAAAGAAUGCACUGACUUGGCGGCCUCGACCGGCGGGCACCACCAGCGACGAGGUUGAGAAUAGCAAGAGCACAACAUAAACGAAAGGGAAAAACACAGAUUCAGAUUCAGUUCAACAACUAAUGAAGUGGACAUGAAUCGACCAUGAAUCUAGACACCGUCGGACGACCGAUUAUGCAAGAAAUGGCGUGCGCUUUUGAAUGCAAAACAGAGCGCGUCUAGAGUUCUCUGAAGAUGGGGCCAGCGACGACGACGAACGGCUACGAGCGGAUGGUGCUGGGGAGGAAGCUGACGACGUCGAUCAGCCGUGGCUGCGAGAUUUUAGAAGGCGCCGGCUUCGCUCUCGUCACGGUUCGUCGCUCACAGCCCCCGCUCCCGGGCGCGCGCGCGCGCAGACACGCCCUCCUCCGUCACCCGCGCGUCACUCUUGCUUCUCUCUUCCUUGCGUCACCGACGCUCUUCUUUUCACGGGGGUGAGCGUGUGCAAGGAAAGGGAGAAGAUGGGCUGGGCUUCCAUUUUAGGUACUGGCGGGCUUAUGAGAACAAAGAAAAGAUGAAAGAGAUGGGCCAAGGAGAGUGAAUUGGACUCAUGGGCCAAAAGAAAAUAAGCGAACUAAAAGAAAUGGGCUGAAAGAGAGGGGUUGGGAAUGAAAAGGCCAAAAACUGCCAAGUGGGCUGGACAACACGAGCCCCUCGAUUUUAUUUUUAUAUCUUUUUUUUUCAAACUUUUUAUUAAAAUUUUGUUAUCUCUCUCUUCUUUCUUCUUCUUAUAUAUAUUUGCCAAAAAUGGAGACCUGAAUGGUCAGCAAAAUUCGGGGUGUCGGUAAGUUGUAUGACAAAAUUUCCCUUUUUAUCAUUAAUUCCAUGCGUUGUUGGCCAAAAUUUCAAAGUGUUAACAACCCCAAAACUGUGAGAACCUCCCUACGGGGAUAGUGGGUUUUUGCAUUCCUGUGAGGCACCCGGUCUUGAAAGGCAAACUUCCCAUGUGAAGGACAACAAUGAGCUCAUUGGGGUCGUGAAGAUACUGAUGGCCUAGAUCAUUAUUGUCAAUAUAUAUAUAAAAUUAUGAUUCCGUGUGUCAGAGAAGUCUCUCGAAAUCAUCAUGGAAAUGGAAAAUUGUCAAAGUACAAUUACAGCCCGUCAUUGAAGGGCAUCAACAGCAACUCAAAUGUUUUUGUUGGACAUUCUAUUUGGAGUUUCUCCACCCCGCAAUAAUCUUUGGCCACCAACGGGUGAAUGCAUUCGUCACUAGAUAUUGUUCAAAAUAAUUCUACCUCGUUAUUCACAUAAUUAUCCCAAAAUGGAUAAAAGAUUGGGAAAUCAAAUUUGUGACCUUUGACUUGCAAAUCAAGUCUUGGACCACUUGACCAAUCAUGGUCGGUUUUUUGGGUGAAAUUUUAUAAAAAUUGGUUUUAUUUAAACCUAUAUUAUUCUCAACAUAUUUAUUCAUUUCUUUUGCUUUUUCCUCGACUCUUUACCAUGUUUAAUCAUUUCUUCACUUUGAGAACUUUCAAUAAAUUGAAAAGAAUCCUCAAAUAGGGGGAGGGAAAACACGAAGAAAUCAAUUUUGACUAAAGAAAGCUAUCUCUUUCUCUUGCCUUGUACUAAUCUUUGUUUAAUCUUCCACGUGAUAUUCUAGGACUUCAACCUGCCAAAUGGGCAAGAUUGGAAAUCGGGUCUAUAUGAAUCCAAGUCAUCAAUUAAGUCAUGUUGAAUGAGUCGAUCUUUCAUCAACAAAUAUCCGAUUCAAUUCGAAUGGGUUGUCCCAUCUUUUUGGCCUAUCUUUUCCAUCGAUCAAUAAACUACUCUAGCUUUUUGGGAAGUAAAGAAUUGACGCAACAAAAACAUACAAUAUCUUGUACUUUGUUCAUGAUGGCAUGAUAUUCUUCUUUAAAUAUUAGGGUAAAUAUAUUCGAAACUAUUGACAUCUGCAUUUUAGUAAAAAAAAUUACGCAUACGUUUUCUAAAAAAAAUGAGCAUAAAACAAUGAAUGGAAGUAAAAAAGAACAAAAGAAAAAGAUUAAUAAAAAGAUAAAAGUAAAUAACAAAUAGAAAAGGCCAAGUUGGUCUAACUGGCACGGCCCACAAGAGCAACCCAUUGAUUUGAUCCACGGCCCAGACCCACCAGCCCCAUUACUUUUCAACCUUUUCCCCUAGCCUGGCCUGGCCUUUUCUCUCCCCUCCUCCGCCCUGCACCCUGCGAGGACAUCGCAGUCGGUCUGACCGAAGAAAGAAGCCGCUCGCUCUGCCUCGACGCUGAGCUUGGAGUAGACAGAUAUUCCAAGUCACGUUCGUUGUCUUCGGCUAGCAAUGUCUCUACCAGAAGACCUUCAGGGGCAUCAGAUGCGGAUCAUUGUCGCCGUUGCUCGUUUCCAUGAAUUCAAGCUCCAGCUGAUGUCAUUCCAGUUGCUUCCUUCUUAUUUGGUUGGUUUGCCAUCCAGGCGAAACUACUUUUAGAUGAUGUUACUAGUAUCAAAAUGGCACAUCGAUGAUUACCUUACAUGUGAUGCAUCAAUGAUUAUUGUUCUUUGUGGAAAGUUUUAGUUGACUCGAUCCCUCUGAUGUAGUGAGCUACACAAGCGGAAUUAUUGAAAGCAAUCGCGACCGCAUCUCCUGGGCUUCUGUCAUCGCAGUCCCGCUUUUGGCUUUUGGCGAUGAGGAGUGUCUUGGCGUGAUGACGCAGCAAAUGUCUGACGAUGAAGCAGUCAAGUGAAAGGCGAGGGGGAAAAAAAACAGGAGAGAUUCGUAAGCGAUGGUUGGAGUCAACUGAGACGGGGCAUCCUUUUCCAUGCGAUUCGUAUCUACUGCAAACUUCCACCGAUCACUGAAGUGAAAGAACGAAUCGCAUGAAUGCCUCAUGGUCAGAACAGCACGCGAUCGGAACUGCAACCAGACGACACUGGAACCGCAAUCGAAGUCAUGAAUGGUGGGAUCGACGACGAUUCACCUCCGAUGAACCUCGAAUCAACGACAAUGAACUUUGGAUUCAAGGAUCGAGCUUUGUUUCUUGUGCGUGUGUGUUGUGUGCCUUCCUUCGUGCAUCUGCCGUGAUCGAAGAUGGAAGGCCGACGGCGGCUUCCAGUGGACCCGGCGGCCAACGGUGAAGCUAGAGAGGACGGUAAAGGCAACGGACGCGAAGCAGAAUGGAGAACUUCCUCGUCAAAUGAUGAAAGCGCCUUGAUUUAAAACAACGAAAAUGUCCCUUUGGCUAUUGCUGUCAUAACCGAAUUCAAGAGAGGAGGGAAAAUCGGCUGUCGCGUAUGACAAAAUUUAUGAUAUGUGUCUCCUUUAUGUUUCAUGUGGUACAAUUCAAGUGUCAUAUCCGACCAUAGACCCCACCCAUAAGAACCCCUCGCAAGAUGAGCACUUCUGCGUGAAGGACCAUGAUGCGUUCGGCCUGAGCUCAUCCUUUUGAAGACAGUAAUACUAGACCAUACUCACAUGUAAUUAAGCAUUGCUAAAACAUGGAAAUGUCUUUAUGGUUUUCGGGAUGAUCGGAGUACUACGAGGUUGAGAAAAUUUGCCCGCCUAUGACUUCCAUCACAGUUGAUCUGUUGGGCCAGUGCAGUAGAGUAAGGAUCAUCCUUUUAUCGAUGGUGCGCAGUCUGUGAAGGAUUUUCCUACUUUUACUAUCGGCUUAAUGAACGUUUACAGUAUAAGAAGUUCUUUUUUUUUUUUUUUUUAACACAAAUUCUUGACCUCUAAUAGUUCUUUCUUUCGACUUGCCUUUACGAGAUACAAUUGGGGAAUAUGUUAUAUAAUGGCACUUUCUUGAAUAAGUAUCCUCAUUUAUGGUGCAAUGCACCGUUUAGCCAGAAAAUUUCAAAUCCAUGACUUAAGAAAGGAUAGUUCUUUAUUGAGAUCUCUCAUCACUGAGACUUGGCAUGUGCCAUGUUGUGGCGCAGAUGGCGUGAUGCAACCUCAUGAUGAAGAGACGAAGAAGUUUGUUCGACACUCUGGCAUCAGCUGUGUGCUUGCUCCUCGUUAUGCAAGUACCAAACUCAGCAUUUUCGAGCAGUCAGUAUGUAUCCUUAAAUGUGUAGGUCAAUUCUUAAUCAAAAUCUAUUUGUAAGAUUGCAUCAAAAGCACCGCUUUGGUGUAUAUUACCUGAUACUCCAAUUCGGUAUAAUUUUANNNNNNNNNNNNNNNNNNNNNNNNNNNNNNNNNNNNNNNNNNNNNNNNNNNNNNNNNNNNNNNNNNNNNNNNNNNNNNNNNNNNNNNNNNNNNNNNNNNNUGUUGUCCUAGAUCAUAUCAUGUGUUUUCUAACCUAAUGACAUGAAUUUAGGACAGCUCUAAAAGGGAAUUUUACAAUAUUGUAAAGGCUACCAUUCGAUUGAAAUCCGAGAUAAAUCUAUGAAAAUGUUUGGUUUGAUUUGUUGGAGUGUGGAUCUUCUAUAGUCCAAGUGGUGGGGACCCUAUACUCACACCACCAAAAGUGCAUGGUUCUUGACACUCAAGCCUCGAGAAACAACUACAAAAUAACAACAUUCAUUGGCGGGCUAGACCUAUGCGAUGGCCGAUAUGACUGUCCGGAGAACAAACUCUAUAGCAAUCUUGAUACCGUCUUUAAGAAUAACAUUCAUGGCCCCACAUUCAUGGUAGUAUGCUAAUGUUUACCUUUAGCAUUGUAAUAACAUGUAUAUGUUAUGUUUUGAUCAUGAGAAAAAAAUUGCUUUUUGUGAUGAUUAUAGUCCACUGUCAAUGUCCCAAGGCAACAAUGGCAUGAUCUACAUUGCAAAGUCGAGGGACAAGUACACAAAUUGAAGAAUCUUGCACAGAGAUGGAGAAAGGCGGCGAAGUGGCGCGAGCUUAAGCCGAAAAAUGUUAGGCGUUGGCAUGAGAGUGCUCCCUUAAGGCUCAACAGGAUUUCGUGGAUACUUUGUCCCUCGACAAGCCCUGAUGGCAACAAAAUAGUACAAGUCAGGGACAAAGAUGACCCGGAAAAUUGGCAUGUGCAGUUCAGGAGAAUUUACUUCAACAUAAUUACCAUUUUCAAGGGACUUCAAUUGUAAACAAAUGAAGUGUGACAACUGUCUUUCAUUUUUAUUUUUUUGUUGGCAUAGGUCUUUAUAUCGAUUGAUUCAGGUUUUGUAAAGGGAUUCCCGAAGAGCAUUGAAGAAGCUGCGAAGCAAGUAAGUUUUAGCCGCUAUACCAUGCUGGUAGAUUUGCGAUUGGCUAUUAUAUGCGUAUAACUUGAAAAGUGUUCUUACAUUAGAAAGUCACUCUUCCUUUUUAUGCAAAGUCUUUAGUGUUUUUAAGUAGAGAUAGAAUUCCACAUUGAUAAUGUUUGGUUCUUUCAAUCUCUUCAUGGUCGCAGAAUCUUAACUGUGGAAAGAACUUGAAAGUAGACAAGAGUAUUCACACGACGUACGUGAAAGCAAUUACAUUGGCACAACACUUCAUUUACAUUGAAAACCAAUAUUUUCUCAGCUCUUGCUAUCGUUGGCAACCAUACAAAGAUGCAGGUAUAAGAUGCCCAUUUCUAUUCAUUUUGACUAACUGAGUUGAGCGAGCAUAAACGCCUCCAGUAAAGAGUGUACAGAUUUGUCUCCCUCAAGAUUGUGUAUCAGCUAAUAAUCGCUAGAACUCACUGUAUAAGACAUUAAGACGGCAUUCUGAUUCAACAUGUUAGAUUCUGAGACAACUCUCUGAACUUUUUAAAUGCAUAUUUUUUCCUCCAUUUUUCUAGUUUUGUUUCAUCCUAUCUAAUUUCUUGAGUUCAAAUUUUUGGUGGCAACCAAUGCUUGAUUUGGUUUUGAACAUGCAGCUGCAAAUAAUUUAGUGCUGAUGGAGCUGGCGUUGAAGAUCGCAAGCAAGAUCAGUGCAAACGAACACAUCUGUGUGUAUGUAGUGAUAUCGAUGUGGCCGGAGGGUGUCCCUAUUAGUGCUGCAGUGCAGGAAAUUCUCUUCUGGCAGAUCAGAUUAAGGAUAAACUCUUUCGUCUUGUAAAAAAAUAGUGAUGACACAUGUAAAUCAAUGAUGUCCAAGCAAAUCGAAACUAAAUAACAUAACGAACGGAAUUAAGCAGAAAACGAAGUGAUCCAAGCAGACCAAGCCGAGCUACUUAAAGGGCAAAUUUGGGACCCGACCCCAUUUCAAUCAUUUUAGUUUUUUUCUCCAGGAUAUAUAUGAUGAUGUAAAAAGAUUAACAUUCACUAUUCUCGUAUGUGUAUUGAUAAUGUGGACAGGGACAAACCAUAAUGAUGAUGUACAAAAUUAUUGCCCAGGCUUUCAAAAAAGCCGAGUUGUCACACAAGUACCAUCCCCUGGAUUACUUAAACUUCUACUGCCUAGGCAAGCGGGAGCCCUUGUCCUCUUUAGUCUUCAUCCCAAGCAAUGAAUCAACAAUCCGAAAAUAAUGCUGUGGCAUAUGUCUAUACUCUUUUCAUGGAUUCUUCCUUUGACUCGUCCGUUAAAAAAGCAAAACGAAAAAAGUCAUUAAGAGCAUGAGUGGUAAAAAGACUAUGGGUUGAAGCAUGCUGUUGUUUCUAUCCAUGCAUGUCACGCCCCAAUCCUCCGAGCACGUGUCCAUCCCUCCUUGGCCAAUUAAAUAGUGACGUCCCAAGAUGCGUCGCCGACCCAUUGGUUUUAAUACGCAUGUGGAAGCAUAUAAAUAAUACCCAGACAAUAAAAUAAUGGGAUAGGAAAGUAGGACCGUAAAUUUUUGAACCUGAAAUGACCACACAUAUAUACAUUGCACACCAUCAUGUAUAUAGUACGAUACAAACUAUCAACGUCAGGUUCUACACAAGCCAAUUCCAAAGCAAAGUCUACAAGUAGGGGUGGGGGCUUCCGAUCUACGGGUCCUUAUCCUCCUCUUCAUCGUCCUCCACGAUCUCACCCUCUUCCACACUCUAGCUGGAGCCCUGAGCCGAAUGCACCGGGGACACGGGGACUUCAAGAGCCAGGUCCAUUGCAUCUACUAUCGAACCUCGAGGAGGAUUAGCUGUUCCCUUUCCAAAAGCAGCCUCUAGGAUGUACAAAGGGAUCUUAGAUUCUAGAGUAGGACCCUCUCUCUAACCAUCUUGAGCAUGGCAGUACCACGAUCGGUAUCGCUGGGGCACCUUUUGGGUGAGACUCGCAUUAAUCCAAACCGUGGACCUCACUAGCUCAUAGGUCUAGCCCCUAGGGCUCCCAGGUAACGGAAAAUAAGAUUCCUUCUCUGUAACACUCUUGGGUCGUCCAAAAAACUCUUGAGCUGGCAUCUAUGGGCCUAAAAUUGUUAUCCCACAACGAGGUUAGACUACGUCUCAGCAAGUUCUAUCCUCCUAAGACUCGAUUAGGAAGCAAAUAUGCCCUGAAGGCUGCCUAAGCACAACACGAAUUAGAGAACUUACCUUGACCUCAAAUCCUUCCUAUCAGACAAUACAAUUCAAAACCAUUAUUCAAUCAUCAUUUCACAAAUCACUUUACUCAACUAGAUUGAAUCAUCGAUCAAUUAACUUAGUCGAUUAUAUGUCAUCGAGACCAUCACACGAUCAUUUCAAUUAUUCAUUCUCAACUCUUAGUCACAGCGGAACGGCACAACCUAGAUUAAGGGGUAACCUCUACCCCACUGGCAAAAUCUAGAUUUUGUGAUAAUCACGACCCCAUCGACAAUCUUCUAGAAUUAUGCGAUAAUCAUGGCCCCACAAGCAAUUUUCUAGAAUUAUGUGGUAAUCACGGCCCCAUCGGCAAUUUUCUAGAAUUAUGUGGUAAUCAUAGUCCCACCGGCAAUUUUCUAGAAUUAGUUGGUAAGUAUGGCUCCACCGGCAAUUUUCUAGAAUUAUGACCAAAAUUGUCCAUUUUUGGAAUAAUAACCAACAAUCACCACUCAUACUCAAAUUGCACAAUCUGGUACUCAAUUAAAUAAACAGAAAGUACCACUGCAAUCAGCACGAAAUUUCAGUCACUGACUAUCCCGAUUUAAUUUCUGGAAAUUAAUUAAUUAAUUAAUUACGGAAAUUAAUAAAUAAAUACAAUAAAUACAACUUAGGCUCGAAAAGCCUCAUUGGAAGCCGAGACGGGCCCGAAAAAUUACCGAACCACUCUAGUUAAAUACUAAAGCUUGUCUAGACUCUAAUUGCACUAACUAUCCACCUAACAUGCAUUGAUAAUUAAUUAAAUUUACUAAUCUAAUUUAACUAACCAUCUAAUCCAUACUUAACUUAAACUAAUCAACAUUUAAGUGUCAUUAACCUACUAAACAAGAAUUAGUGAGCUAAACUCACUUGUUUAACGAACCGCUCGGUUCGAAACGAUGGGAAUGCCGCGAGGCUUAACUCUCUCCAAAGCGAGCCUAGCUUUCAGGAUCUGGAACAACCUCAAAACAGGCCUGAUGUGCUGCUGGAAAUCCACUUAUUUGCUCUCUGUUCAAGGCUACAAAAGAGGGAAAACGAGGGCUGGUUGGCGAGGCAAGACCGGCAGAGGUAGCAGGGACACUCAGUGGCCACCGGCGGUGCUUCAUGGCGGCUGAAUAGGGGCGAGGUGGCUCCGGCUGGGCUCAACAAGUCCUGACAUAGCAGUUGGGAUGCGAGACAAGGUUGCUGGGCGUCGGGGUAGCACGAAUGGGUGCGGAACAGCAGUGGCGUGCGCGCGAGGCACGGAUGGGUGCAGCGACAGGCGAUGGCUCGAACAGUUCCGACGACUUCUCUACUGGCUGCCAGAGUUUGAAAACAGCAAGGAGGAGGCUAAAGGGGUGCCGGUCGAAGACUAGAGGGAGAGAGGGAAGAGAUGAGGGGGACAAUGGGGGGCCACAAGCCUUAUUUUCUCUUCAAUUGUCUCCCUUGACCAUCCUUCACCACUAGCUGCUUCUUAGGCUGAAAAUCAGCCACCAAGGCUCACUUCUAGAAGCCUGAGAUGGUCUAAACGUUGCGGGUGGUACGGGCACACGAAUUUGGCUCGGUUUCUCUUCCAUUGGACACUCAAUCCUCAUUGAAUUAAUCCAAUUCGGUCUUUAAAAAUUCAAUUGUCGAUUCAAUAAUCAAAUUGGUAUUUUUCCUUACCAAUUGAAUCAUCUUGCCUCCCAACUGCGCAACAAAAAAUGAUCCCUGACGAUUUCUGAACAAAAACGGCCCUACGACGACUUUUUCCCAAAAAAUCUUGGUUUGCAAAAAAAUCUUUGGAGGUGGAGUCGACAUUUCUAAAAUGAUUCGUGACAUGACAGGAUUUUCAAUUUCUGAAAUCAGAUUUAAAUUUGCAGUUAAUUUCACUCUAACGCGUUUUUAGCGUGACCUAAGUUACCAAGUAGCUUUCAGAACUUUUUAAUACAAAUGACCCGUGGUCGAUUUUCUUUGAGCUACAAUGAACCUGUUCAAAACAUUGACAACUCUGUUCAUUGUUUCUUACCAAAGCUUUCUUCAUAAAGGUGGUUCCCCUUUUUAUUCACGACCGGUCCUCUCUUCAUUUCUUGCAUCACAGCUGCUUUGUUGGCGGCAACAUGGAGUUCCUUUUGCCUAUUCCAUUUCAUUGAUUCUCUGGUCGCUUGUUCUCUGGUUGAGUGGGAGACCAAGGUUAUUUUAGGCGCUACUCUAGGAGCCAUCGUUGCUGCAUCCCAAAGUUGUUUAAGGAUGACAAACCCACCGAAACUGUGUCCAAAAAGUCAGGUGGUUUAUUAGGAAUUGCUAAAAGUGUGAUUGUUGAAAGCACCUCAUUAGUUGAAGAAGAAACAUUUUCUCAAAUUUUCAAAACUGCUGCAAACCGCAUCCUAUGAUCCCCCUCCAACACAGAAGUAAUUACGAACUCGGUUCGGUCCUUGCAUAAGUACUAGCAGCUUUGUGCUUGAUCUUUCUGUCUAUGCGAGAGAAGGGCAGAGGAUAUCUGUUGGAGCAGUAUCCUAUUCUGUUCUGUAAGCAAAAGCCAUUGCAAGAAAUUGCGUAUAAUCACCUUAACGCUGGACCAAAUAUUGCCGGAAGAGGCGUGUUAUUAGGUGGUAGAGGGACGAGAAUUUCUGAAAGUAGAAGUUUAGGGUAGCUUCCUGUCACUCCAUUGUGAGAAUAAAGAGGGAAAAAAAAAUAUCUCACGAGGAGCUGAUGAACUUGGCCAAGUUUCUGAGACACUUGACUGCUGGGAUUCGACCGACCGUUCUUCAUUAGCAUCGUAAUCAUCAUCAUUCUCGAAAGCCAGAUACAUCCCGCGCUCCCAAGAAAGUAUGGUGGGUCUCGCAAGACUAUCUAUUCAUGUCUCCUUUUAACGUCCGAACCAUUGGCUUGGAUUCUGGAUAUCUAAUCUUCUAAAAGCUGGUCUUCACUUUUGUCCCCCCAUCUGGUUUAAUGUCGAAGCGUGUAUCGGAUCUUCGAGCCUGAGAAGCCUUCCUUUAAUGUCCUCGAUUGUCGAUAGCAGGAUGUUUGCCCGGUUUGCACUGUCCGCAGAGACAACAAUGGUGAAAAUUAUCACUCUAAUCUCGCGGUUCUUCUUCGGAGCAGCAAAAUGAGGAGAUUCUUGACAAAACCAUCCACGAAUCUCACUCCUAGGGACACUUGAGUUGUACGGAUGCUAUAGAGCAACCGGCAAUUUCCCAUUAAAAAACACAUUUUGAGGUCAAACUUUGUGCAUUCGUGAUUGAUUGUGCUCACAUCUUUAAGCAUAUUGAUAAUUUUGCAUAAUUUUGCAUAUUAAGAUAGGAUUUCAUAUUUUAUAAUAAGUGCCAGCACAUUAGGGGUCUCUUGAAUGAAUGUUCUUUUGUGAAACAUCGAUAAGUUGCAUUGCAUAUAUAGUGAAUUUGAAUAUGUGCGUAUUUCCUCCCAUUAUUGCAUAUUUACUUCUUCUUUUUUUAUGCUGUAAGGAGAAAAAAAUAACAAAGAGUCGAUCUUGCAUGUUAGUAACUUUAGAUUGCAUUCUCGCGAUCCAUCACACAGAAUUAGACUAGAAUUGUGUAUGUGUUUAGGAUAAAAUUACAUAUUUCCAUCUUUUAGAGUAUAUUUAAUUUCCUUAUAUUUAAUUUGAGAGUCAUGAAAAUACAAAGUUAUCACUUUUGCAUUACAGACUUAGGAUUUCUUUCCAUGUAGGAUAUUGGUUCGAUUCUUAUUUGCAUGAUUAAAAGCUCGUUUUUAGGAAAAUAAUUUAUAUAGAGUGGGUUUUUGCAUAGCAUAUUUGUAUUUUUCUUUAAUGCAUCGGUCUACAUUAGAAAACUUGCAUGGACUUUUCAUUAAGGAUUAAUAUUACGAAAAACCUUGAUGCAUCAACGACAAAUUUACGUCAAAUUAAUUUUUUGACCACAAAAAACUCAAACGGAUAUACUUGUGACAAAUUUAUCUCAAAUUAAAUUUUAACCAUUAAAAAUUCCAACUAGUGCUUGUGUGAUAAAUUUAUCACAAACUAAUUUUUUAUCAUCAAAAAUCAUAACCUGGUACAUGUAUAACAAAUUACCCUUUGUUAGUUUCCAUUAAAUUGGUUAAAUACUAUAAAAAGAAAAACCACAAAUUGGUAUAUAUAUAACAAACGGAAGGUAAAAUCUUAAAUUGGUACAUCCGUAAUCUGUCUCAUGUAUUUCAACUUAGCAAUUUGACAAUUUAUCACUAGUAUACCAGUUUCGGAUUUUUAAUUAUCAAAAAAUUAAUUUAGGUAAAUUUAUCAUAAACAUACUAGUUUGAGAUUUUUCGUGAUAUUUAAUCAUUUAAUUUACUUCUGCAAUUUUUUUGCUAUUUAUUUAUUACAUUUGAUUCCCAAUCCUCUCUUUCUCCCCAUAUGUACCAUGUCUAAAUCGAUCUGUCUCGGGGGAUACUCUCUCCUGGGUAAAGAUUUCGCCAGAAGCAUAAAAAUUCCACGUGCACACAAACACAUCUGCUCAUCACUCGACGUUGCCGCCUGCCUACGAUGGUUUUCACGAACAAUUCGCUCAUAUAAACACAGAACAAAUACCGACCAAAACAAAACACAGAACAAAUGCGCUCAUCACAUUCUCUCACCACCUAAGAGAAAUUAGUGGCAGACCGCAGACCGCAGUUGCCUGCCAAAUUUUCCUCCACGCCCUCCUUCCUCUAGCACCUUCUCUCUCUCUCUCUCUCUCUCUCUCUCUCUCUCUCUCUCUCUCUCUCUCUCUGCACGUGCCGGCGGCGGCAGGCGGCCGGGUGCGUGGCAGUUGUCCAUGGCUCAGGCGGAGGAGAAGAAAGAAGAGAACCAUGUCCUUUUGGUGGCCUUCUCUUCUCAGGGCCAUAUCAACCCGAUGCUAAGGCUUGGCAAGCGUCUCGCCGCCAGAGGCAUCCAUGUCACCCUUGCCACCACCGAGAUCGCCCGCCACCGCAUGCUUAAGUCCUCUGGUGCCGGUCCCGCUGACCUUGUCACCGGUAUCGAGCUCCUGUUCUACUCCGACGGCCUGAGCCUUGACUACGACCGGAAGACCAACCUCGACGUCUACAUGGACAGCCUAGGUAAACAUGGGCCUAGCAAUCUCUCGUCUCUAAUCAAAGAACAUUACCCGAGUCCGAAGAAGCUCUUAAGCCUAGUCACGAACCCUUUCGUGCCCUGGGUUUCCGAUGUAGCCGCCGAGUACAACAUCCCUUGUGCCAUGCUAUGGAUUCAACCGUGUGCGUUGUACGCGAUAUACUAUCGCUGCUUCAAUAAGCUCAGCGCCUUCCCGACUCUGACAGACCCUGAUAUGGUUGUGGAACUACCGGGUUUACCUUCGAUGGAGAAGGAGGAUCUGCCAUCCUUUGUGCUCCCCAACAACCCAUUUGGCAGCUUCCCCAAAUUAUUCUCUGAAGUAUUCCAAGGCAUGGAGAAGUUCAAAUGGGUUUUAGGGAAUUCUUUCUAUGAGCUUGAGAAACAUGUCAUAGACUCGAUGUGCGAGCUUUAUCCGAUAAGGCCAAUCGGUCCACUAGUCCCUCCAACGUUGCUAGGCCAAGAUCAAGAACUUGAGAAUGCGAGUGUGGAUAUGUGGAAAUCAGAUGAGACUUGCAUUGAAUGGUUGACGCAGCAACCUCCAAGCUCAGUCAUCUAUGUAUCCUUUGGGAGCAUAGUUGUGUUACCAGCCAAGCAAAUGGAAGCGAUAGCCACGGCUCUAAAGAACGUGAAGCGUCCCUUUCUUUGGGUGGUGAAGCCGCCUGAAUUCCCGACGCCUGAUGGCGCAGGGCAACUUCCAUCACGGUUUCUUGAAGAAACCAAAGACCAAGGUCAAGUCGUGUGCUGGUCUCCUCAAACUAGAGUUUUGUCACACCCGGCUGUGGCAUGUUUCAUCACUCACUGUGGAUGGAAUUCCUUGCUCGAGACUAUUUGCUCGGGUAUCCCUCUCAUAGCCUACCCACAGUGGACUGACCAGCCGACCAACGCAAAGCUCAUUGUCGAUGUCUUUAAGAUUGGCGUGAGGAUCAAGAAGGAAGUUGAUGGAAACAUAAGCAGUG
rnacentral:lncRNA from 1 species